GGAUAUCUUCUGCGUAUAUAAUUCUCCAACUCCAAGUAUCUUCCUCAACUUUAUGAUUCUUCCACAACACUUUUACCAAGGCUAUCUCUUUACUUAUCAACUUCCAAACUUGACGAUCUAAAAUAGAUAUGGGCUCUUUCUCAUAUGAUAAAAAAUAUCAUACACCAAUAUCCUCUACAAGAAGCACAAGAGAAUGAUCUCCAAUAUACUUCUUAAGGAUUGACACACAAAAUACAGGAUGAACUGAAGCUAAACAUGUGGUAAAUGCGGUAACUCUAACUCAUAAGAAACUCCACCAAACCUUCUCAUAAUCUGGUAAGGACCUAUGUAGCGAGGACAGAGCCUUCCUUUCUUCCUGAAUCUCAUAACUCUCUUUAUAGGGGAGAUUUUUAGGAACACCCAAUCAUCAACCUUAAGCUCUAACUCCCUUCUUUUAACAUCGGCAUAGGACUUAUAGCGACUUUAGGAUGUCUUAAGACGCUCUAUAAUGAUUUUCACUUUCUCCAUCGCAUGAUGAACAAGGUCAUUCCCCAAAAAAUGAGUUUUACCCGCUUCAUACCAACCAAUCGACGACUGAUGUUGGGUGAAUUUAUGCAUUCUAGCACUACUAUUCUAGCUUAUUUAGCCUUCUUUUGAGGAUGAUUCUUAUGAUAUAUGUAUUAAUAAUGAUAUAAAUGAGCAAUUAUGUGUCCAAGUAUGUGUUUACAAUGUUUAAUGGUGGUUUCACAUGAGUUUGGUUCAAUUUGAGCAUUUAGAAGUCAACCGAGAAAACUAGUGUAACUAGCUUGAGCUAGGUGUUUUUCUAGUCUCUUGUGUUGGGUUCUAAUCUGUUUUAAUGAGUUACUAAGGUUGUUAUUAUGUAUUUAUAUGAAAAAACUUAUUUAUAAUGUUCAAGGGUCAAUUGGAUCAAGAAAAGAGUCAAAACAAUGAGAUAAAGCUCAAUGUGAAUUUAGCCUAUGCUUAGCUCGUGUUUCUAGUUCAUCGAUGAGGAUGUUGUGUUGUUUUGAGCUCUUAAUUGAUGUGUUUAAUUCUUUAGGAUUCUUUGUAAAUGGAUUAUUAUGAUAUAUUAAGGAUAUAUAAGCUUCAAAUCAAGUGGAAACAACUCAAGAAGGCUCAAAAGGGCUCAACAAAAGCACAAUACACAAGUUGGAUGCAAUUUUGACCCCUGUAAUGUAUUGAGCGCAUGAUGAGUGUAGGAGAAGCCAGUGUAUGUGUAUAAAACAUCACUAGAUUCAUAAGAGGACCAAGAUGUUUAACCACAGGUGCAUGUACCUUAUAAUGGGGUUUAAGAAGGCUCCGUGAUGCGUUGAAAUUGCAACUAGCUACUGGAAUUUGACAAAUUUUUUGACAAUUGUGAAUGAGCAUGUCACCGCGUCGUGCCGACCUCCAAAAUCGGGAGAAAUCUGCGUAGCUGAAGAAAAAUAGGGCUGAAACCCAAUCCAAGUCGAUUUAUCACUUAUAUACUAUAAAUAUAACAUCCUAAGCUCCGUUUUAAUCAUCUUGGGACAUCAUUGGAGGCUACCACAAUUUAUUUUUUUAGGUUUUAUCAUUCUUUAAUUUAUUUAUUUUUUAUGGUUUGUAUCAUCAUUCCAAGAGAUUGGAUGAUGAAUAUUUCUAUUCAAGGCUAAAACCUCUUUUCAGAGUUAAAACCAAGAACAUAAUUACUAUUGUUUGGAUUAAUUUUGAUUAAUUUUGCUUAUCAUAUUUGGUUGUUUGUUUAUUCUUAUUUUAAUUAUUUUGUGGAUUGAUCACCCAUAAAAUACAUAUAUUUUUGACCUUUUGAUCUCGGAAGAAGAAAUAGGGAGAUAAAACAUGGGAAUAAACAAAGUUCGGAUUUUUAUUCUUUUAUAAAGUAAAGAAUUGAACUUAGUGUCUAGGAUAGUUAUGUAUUUAGAUGCCUUACUUGAUUCAAAUGUAGGAUGAUAGAUUUAAUUAACUUUCUUUGAUUAUUGCAUCCCCGCUCAACGAUGUAGUUGUAAUAUCCAUAUUAUGUAAAAGAUUAGAGGUUGGAAAACCAUGAUCAUGCAAUUAACCCUACGAAUCAACUACCACGAUUAGUAAGUUGACGAAUGAAAUUUAAUAACAUAGUAUGAUUGUUCGAAGUGUUUUAGCCCUGGUUUUGUUCCAUUGAUCGUCCCAAGUAUUUUAUUUUACGUAUUAUUUAUUUUAUUUUUAAUUUGCAAAAUUACAAACUCUCUCCUUGGUUACUUUUUCUCAAUUAGUUAAACUAGAAUUAGAUAGGCGGCGAACGCAAGUCCCUGAGAGAUCGAUACUUGGGCUUCCUUGAAGCCACUUUACUACUUGAUAAGACCACGUAGACUUGCGUGUGCGCUUUUAAAUUUUUGGCGCCAUUGACGGGGACUUGGAAGUAGGCAAUUAUCUUAUUUUUAGUUUAACUACAUUGAGUUGUAAAUAGUCUAGUUUUUUUUCGUAGUUUCUUUUAUUUUAUUUUUCUCACACUCUUCUUCAGAUGUCAGUCUUUGAUAGAUGGUUUUCGAGGGAUAAUGAUUCUUGUCAUUUUUGUGGAGGACCCCACCACGAGGUUUUUUAUCCUGAUUUUGAUCUAAGCAUUUGGAGGGGCCCUGUUUGUUUCUAACCUAUGGAGUAACCCACGAGUUGGUUUAUGGUUUGUUAGAGUCUGUAUCACUCUGCAGAUAUGUGUGAUUUUAAUCCUAAUUCAGUCAUGUUUGCGGGAAAUGCUCAACAGACAACUAAGGAGGUAGAUACAGAGUUGACCCCCCAAUCAAGAAAGUUGCUGACAAUUCGAGAAAGUCCGAGUACUCGAAAACUGAAAUUAUUGAAUAGGUUGAGGAGAUACCACUGCCACCAUGUAUAUAGUGUCUAAGCAAAGAAAAAUAUGAGAAGAAUAUUAGCCAAUGUGUGGAGCAAACACAAGAAUUGCAGCCACUCGAUCACCAUCUUUAUCUUGAUUCUGAAAUUGAGGUGAAUAAAAGUGAGUGCGUAGUAGAUUGUGUAAAUUUUAAAGUAGGAUUGGUUGAGCCGCAUUCGAAAUACUUUUCUACAUUAUUUUAGAUGAUUUCUUGUCUGUGGAAUCAUCUAAAAUAGUGGAAGAGUGUGAAGAUGAGGAACAAGAAUCCUAUAUUCUUUAAUUUACACCAGAUAAGCAACAUAAAAACACACCUCACAUGAAGGCUGAGUGGUUUAUCAUGCACAUUCUUUUACUUGGUUCAUUAAUUUUUAUACCACCACCCUAUGAGCAAGGCAAGAAGAUGGAUGCGAUGUUGGGGUUGAAAUUCAUAUCCUCAAGGUAGAGGAAAAAGUUGAUUGGGUCGUGCUGCGAUACUAAAUUAGGCGUUUCUUGGGAGGCAACCCAAGGUAAGUAGGUUUUAUUUUCAGGUUUUAGUUUUUAUUUCACAUAAUUUUUGUUUUUGGUUGAGUCAAAGGUUAAUGGGAAGUCUGAGUACGAUAAAUUUGAGCUUGGAGCAUGGCAAAGAAUGAGUGUGGGGUUCCGUAAAUCUUUUUUAUGUGUUAAGAUGCUACUAGCUAGGCCUAGAGGCCUCAGGGAGUAUUUCUACCUUUUUACAUCUAAACUCACUUUGGGGACAAAGUAGAAUUUUAAGUGUGGGGUGGGAAAAAUCUCAAAUUUUGGCUUAAUUUAAAAAGAUUUAGGUUAGGAAUAAGUGAGAUAUUUUUGUUGGUACUAUUUUUAAUUACAUGAUGCAAGUGAGUUUGUUUGUAAAAGCAUGUUGAAUUGUGUGAAUUGCUAUUUUUGAGACUCUUAGGUUCAAGUUUAUGACUCUUGUAUUUGUUUGCUUAAUUUUGAAUUCAUGCUAUUGUUUGGUUGGGAGUCUAUGAUGAUCCUAUUGAGUCAAGCAUGUGCCAUGUGCGGGUGAGGUAUUUUUGUAUAUUCCUUGUUGCAUAUAUUUUAGAGAACUUGUCCGGUGUGUGUGCAAAAUGAAAUAAAGAGUGUGGGUUUAGGAGAUGAUUUAGGUAUUUCUUUGAUAGCCUUGUUUUAUACCUUCUCUUUGUCCUAUCUUUUGGGCAUUAUCCUAGUUAAACCCCAUUGAGCCUUUAGCCUUUUCUUUGGUAGCCUAAUAAUUACCCUAAUCCCCUUCUUUGAUAGACCACAAUUUUAUUAGAAAAGCUCCUAAGUUCUUUAAUUGAAAAAGAAGAAGAAAUAAGUGAAAAAGGAGUUUGAGAAAUUGAUGAAUAAAAAUGUGAAAUUGAUGCCCCAAGGUAAUAGUUAUUGGUGUUUAUAUUUGAUGUGUGGCAGUUGGGAUUGAUAUAAAUGGUGUUAAAAAUAUUCCCAUGAUUGUAGAGAAUGAGAAAAAUUAAAUCUUGAAGAAAUACAUAAUGCGCCCACCAUGUGUUUGUGAAAAUGCUUAAAAGAGAUGGGGCAAAAAUAAAAGGUAUGGGUGGAUAAAAAAGUGUAAUUUGGUUGUUGGAGAUUGGUUUUAAAUGUUUAAUGUAGUGUAUUAAAGAGCUUAGAGAGAUUAAUCACUAUUCUUGGCCAAAAUAGUUCCUACCUUUUCCUUAGCCUACAUUUCAACCCGGAAAAGUCCUAAUUGAUCCUAAGUUCAUCAUUCCGAUAUUAGUGGAGCAUUACACUAAGGGAAAGCCUAUGGUUCAUUAUGUGUAACUUGUGAAUUCUUUGUGAGAGUGAGCGUAAUUUGAUUCUUGUACCCAUAACAUUAUAAAUUGCAUUAUUUUGAGUGAUUAUGGGUAACUCUCUUGUUGUGAGGGGCACAUGUUUGAUGAAUGUGGGUGAUUUAUAUGAUGUCCUUGAUUGAGAAAGAAGCAUGAGUUUGCCAACUAGGUGAGUCAAUUCUUGAGGCUAGGUUGUUUUGGAGUAGUGUUCUUAAGCUUUCAAUUGUGUAAAUAGUGUAGAAACUUGCAUUCGUGUAGUCAUUUUAGUGCUAGCUUGAAUUUCUUUCAUAUAGUAGAAGUGUGGAAUCUCUUCAUCUCAUGGUAUUUAUAGUUAAGAGUUGCUCAUGGACGAACAAGGCUUUAAGUGUGGGGUGGUGAUGUUGGAUGAAUUUAUGCAUUCUAGCGCUACUAUUCUAGCUUAUUUAGCCUUGUUUUGAGGAUGAUUCUAUAAAUGAACAAUUAUGUAUCCAAGUAUGUGUUUACAAUGUUUAAUGGUGGUUUCACAUGAGUUUUGAUUCAAUUUGAGCAUUUAGAGUUCAAUUGAGAAAACUAGUGUAACUAGCUUGAGCUAGGUGUUUUUCUAGUUUCUUGUGUUGGGUUCUAAUGUGUUUAAUGAGUUACUACGGUUUUUAUUAUGUAUUUAUAUGUAAAAAAAACUUAGUUAUAAUGUUCAAGGGUCAAUUUGAUCAAGAAAAGAGUCAAAACAAUGAGUUAAAGCUCAAUGUGAAUUAAGCCUAUGCUUAGCUCGUGUUUCUAGUUCAUCGAUGAAGAUGUUGUGUUGUUUUGAGCUCUUAAUUGAUGUGUUUAAUGAUUUAGGAUUCUUGAUGAAUGGAUUAUGAUGAUAUAAAAAGGAUAUACAAGCUUAAAAUCAAGUGAAAACAACUCAAGAAGGCUCGGAAGGGCUCAAGAAAAGCACAAGACACAAGCUAGACGCAAUUUUGACCCCUGUAAUGUAUUGAGCGCCUGUGGAGUGUGGGAUAGGCCAAUGUAUGAGUACAAAACAUCACUAGAUUCAGAAAAUUCCCAAGUUUUUUGACCCAUAGGAACGUGUAGCUUAUAAUGGGGUUUAAGAAGGCUCCGUGAUGCACUGAAAUCGCGACUACCUUCUGGAAUUUAACAUAUUUUUUGACAAUUGUGAAUUAGCAUGUCACCGCGUCGCGCCGACCACCAAAAUUGGGAGAAAUCUUCCCAGCUGAAGAAAAACAGUGUUGAAACCCAAUCCAAGUCGAUUUAUGACUUAUAUACUAUAAAUAUAACAUCCCAAACUCUGUUUUAAUCAUCUUGGGACAUCUUGAAACACCCUAGAUCACUUGGGACAUCAUUGGAGGCUACCAAAACUUCCUUUUUUAGGUUUUAUCAUUCUUUAAUUUAGUUUUUUUUUUUUUAUGGUUUGUAUCAUCUUUCCAUGGGAUUGGAUGAUGAAUAUUUCCAUUCAAGGCUAAACCCUCUUUCCGGGGUUAAAGCCAAGAACAUGAUUAUUAUUAUUUUGGAUUAAUUUUGCUUAUCAUAUUUGGUUGUUUGUUUAUUCUUGUUUUAAUUAUUUUGUGGAUUGAUCAACCAUAAAAUACAUAUAUUGUCGACCUUUUGAUCUUGGGAGAGGGAAUAGGGAGAUAGAACAUGGAAAUAAAUAAAGUUCGGAUUUUUAUUCUUUUAUAAAAUAAAGAAUUGAACUUAGUGUCUAGGAUAGAGAUGUAUUUAGAUGUCUUACUUGAUUCAAACGUAGGAUGAUAGAUUUAAUUAACUUUAUUUGAUUAUUGCAUCCCCUCUCAACGAUGUAGUUGUAAUAUCCAUAUUAGGUAAAAUAUUAGAGGUUGGGAAACCAUGAUCAUGCAAUUAACCCUACAAAUCAACAACCACGAUAAGCAAGUUGACGAAUAAAAUUCAAUAACAUAGUAUGAUUGUUCGAAGUGCUUUAACCCUGGGUUUUCUUCCAUUGAUUGUCCCAAGUAUUUUAUUUUAUGCAUUAUUUAUUUUAUUUUUAAUUUACAAAAUUACAAACUCUCUCCUUGUUUACUUUUUCUCAAUUAGUUAAACUAGAAUUAGAUAGGCGGCGAAUGCAAGUCCCUAAGAGAUCGAUACUUGGGCUUCCUUGAAGCCACUUUACUACUUGAUAAGACCACGUACACUUGCGUGUGCGCUUGGGCGUUGUCAGCUACCUACACCUUCUCCCAUAAAGAGCCUCAAAAGGAUCCUUUGGAUUCUAGAGUGGUAUCUAUUGUUAUAGGCGAAUUCUAUCAACGACAAGUGAUCCACCCAACUACACUUAAAGUCAAUCACGCAAGCCCUCAAUAUAUCUUCUAAGGUUUGAAUGGUACGCUACGCUUGCCCAUCCGUUUGAGGGUGGAAGAAGGUGCUAAUAUUUACAUGGGGGUAUGAGAUUCAUCUAGAAUCUUCUCUCGUAGCCGAUCCAUAUUUUGCACACACAACCUACCUUGGUAUCUCAAAAUACCAUCUUCCCCAAUUUCAUAGGCCAUUACUUUUGGUUGAACAAUAUCCUCCUUGAUAUGUAUCAAGAUGGUUCUUUAGUGUGUUUUUCCUUAAUUUCUGCACAUAGGGAAGCUUUAGCAACCUCUUGGAUGAACAUCCUUCCAUCCUCAAAGUCUAGGAGUCAGACCCCUAGAUUAGUAAGCCAAUGAAUAUCCUUAACCAAAUUCCACUUUUUUUCCUCCACAUGAGAAAGACUGCCCAUGGACAACCUGCUAAGGGCAUCAACAACCACAUUGGCCUUACCUGGAUGAGAGUGUAGGCUUAUGUCAUAAUUCUUCAAUAACUCUAACCACCGCCUCUGCCUGAGAUUCAGCUCUUUCUGUAUGAAUACAUAUUGCAAACUUUUGUGAUCAGUAAAGAUGUCAACAUGUACCCCGUGAAGAUAAUGAUGCCAAAUCUUGAGUGCAAAUAUCACAAUCAUCAAUGCUAGAUCAUAGGUGGGAUAGUUCUUCUUAUGCACCUUUAACUGUCUUGAUACAUAAGCCACUAACUUACCAUGCUACAUAAGUACACACCCAAGUCUUAUUAGGGGUGAAUUAUAAUACACAAUAAAACCCUUUGCGCCCUUAAGAAGGGUUAAAACAAGCACAGUAGUCAGCUUGUCUUUCGAUUUUUCAAAACUAUUCUCACAACAGUCAGACCACAAGAAUUUCUUCUUCUUCUGAAUCAAUUGGGUAAGUAGAGCAUCUAUGGAUGAAAAACUAUAAAUCUACUAUAAUAUCCUGCCAAACCCAAAAAAGUUCCUGAUGUCGAUUGGAGUCGUGGGUCUGGGCUAUUUUCUCACAGCUUCAACCUUUUGGUGAUCCACUUUAAUUCCCUCACUUGAAACAAUAUGCCCCUAAAAAGCUAUUGAACUAAGCCAGAAUUCAUACGUAGAAAACUUUGCAUACAACUCAUGGUCUUUAAAAGUUUGAAGGACAAUUUAGAGGUGAUUAGUAUGUUCCUCCUCACUCUUAGAGUAAAUCAAGAUAUUAUCAAUAAACAAUAUGACAAAUAGGUCUAGAAACUGAUGAAACACCCUAUUCAUGAGAUCCAUAAAUACUGCGGGGCAUUAGUCAGACCAGGACAUGACCUGGAAUUAUAGUGACCAUAUUGGGUUCUAAAAACUAUUUUGGGGAUGUCAUCUGAAGGACUAUUUUGGAGAAACAUUUAGCACCAUGGAUUUAGUCAAAGAUAUCAUCGAUUUUGGAAAAAAGUACUUGUUCUUAACGAUGACUUUGUUCAGAUGACGGUAAUCUAUACACAUGCGGAGGAAGCCGUCUUUCUUACGCAUGAAGAGUACCGGAGCACCACAAAGAGAGAUACUAGGAUGAAUAAAUCCUCUACCAAGAAGGACCUUUAACUACUCUUUCAACUCUUUCAAUUCAUCAGGAGCCAUUCUGUAUGGAGGAGUAGAAAUAGGUCAAGUGUCUGGCAACAGGUCAAUGCCAAAAUCUAUCUUCCUAUCUAGGGCUAUCCUAGAAAAAUCGUCAAGAAAGACUUCUAGGAAUUCAUUAACUACAAGAAGGGACUUUCAGUUCUAGAAUCUUUGACCCAAACAAGAUGGUACAAACAAUCUUUGGAUAUGAGCUUAUGAGCUCUAAGAUAAGAUAUGUACUUCUCUCUAGGUGCAAGAGAAUACCCUCCCACUCUAUUGCUGGCUCAGUAGGAAAAGAGAAGGUGAAAUUUCUGGUUCUAUAGUCUAAUGUAGCAUAAAAAGAAUGGAGUCAAUCCAUUCCCAAAAUAGCAUCAAAAUCAACCAUGUCAAGAUCUACAUGAUCAGUCACAAUAUCUCGAUAGAAAACAGACACCACAUAAUUUCUAUAAGCUCUCCUAGCCAUAAUAGAGUCACCAAUAGUGGUAGAGACAAAAAAUGGUUUAGAAAUAUUUUAGAGCUCAAAACCAAAAACGAUUGCCACAUAAGGGGUCAUAUAAGAAAAACUAGACUCGGGAUCAAGUAACAUAUAUGCCUAACGGAAGAAUAUUUGUAACAUACCUGUAACAAUAUCUGGAGAAGCCUCUGAGUCCUGGUGAGUAGAUAAAGUAUAUAAUUGUCACGACCCGAACUAGGGCCUGGCUGUGCUGGACAUCCUGAACCAUGAAGGCCCGGACGUCCUACUCUAUCUGGUAGUCAUGCGCAUCAUUCUUUUAAUAAAAGAAAAUGCAGAAUAUUAAUCUAAUACGGAAACAUGGUCAUACACUGGAUUAAGUUUAACAUUAAGGAUUGAAAUCCGAAAUCAACUAAAAAACAUCUGGAACAGUCUGCCAUAUCUCUACUACAUGAAAAUCUGACAACUAUUUAAAAACUGGGACAAGGCCCCGAGUAGACCGAAACUAUAAUAGAUGACAUAAUUUGAAAGGAUAAGCCUUCUAGAAUAGAGAAGGCUCACCACUACACAAUCUGAUCUGCUGUCUGAAUUAUCUACUGCUUAUCUGGACCCCUAGACUGAGCCUCAGAACCUGAGAGAUAGGUAAGGAGGGGUUAAUACAGAUGUACUAGUAUGCAAAGAAAAUCCAAAAUAAUCAUUUAUAUUCAACAUAUAUGAGAGAAAUCUAAAGCAGUUCAUAAACAUAUCAUAUAGUAAGAAAUCACAUGGGUAUUUUAAAAGACUCUGUGAAAACAUCUAAAAUCUGUGACACUCUUUGUCUUACUUCUGCGUUAGGUGGUGUACCCUACAAUCUAUAAUCCCAUGGGAUAUAUGGAAUCUUCCAUUAACUCGAUAGCCAAUCCCCCAACCUAAGUGUGCCGCAAGGGUCGGAGUCUCUGAAUCUACUACGCCACGCGACCAUCGCCAGCGUACAAUAAUAAUCUACUCAUAUCGGUAAAUCCGAUUUCAAGCUAAGAGUUACUUGAACUCAUGCCUUCUUUGGGUAACCACCUAACCCUCUUUAUGCCCAUUUUUAUUUCUUUAAGCAUGCAUGCUCUGAAAACAUUCUCUAAAAUCUUUAACUCUGUCGUGGCGUAUACACAUAUAUGGUAUCGUCAUACCAUUGACUUGCAAGUCACAUUCUCUGAGCCAUUUAUAGCAAUUUAUAUCUCUGUUUUCAAAUCAUGAAAUUCAGGACCACCAUAUCAAUAAUUCUUUCAAGAAACUCAUGUAAAACCAUGCAGUUAAUUCUCUUCAUCAAUGAUUCAGUAAACAAGGUGGUCAUAUUAAAAGUUUCAAUCUCAUGCAAUUCUUUCUCUUUAACAUCACAUAGUUAUAUGAAGAAACACCCACUCAACAAUUCAAAAUCAUAUUCAAGUACAAGGACAUUGAGCAAAACAUCUUUCAAAUCAUAAAACAUGCAUUUCAACUCUUUUCCAACAAAACCAUAAGCUUUAAUCCAAUACAAGAGAGGGAGUUCAUAAUUUAUACUCUCAAACAAUCUUAAAUCUCAAAUCCCAUACAUAUACUUAUACAUGUAAAUCAAUUUAGGGGAUAGGAUCACAAGGUCAAAACAAUAGUAAAAUUAAAACAUUCGGAGUGCGUAAUUUAGAUCAUAGAUCACCCCUUUGAAAUUCAUGCAUUAAAAUCUUAAAAUCAUGCUCUAAUGGUUUUAAGCCCAUGUAGUUUUUAGGAUAAACCCCGCGUACCAUAAAUUAUAAGAUCUGAAUUAUGGAACCUAGAUCUUGAUAAAUGAAACCCGAAUCUUGAUUUGUUUCUUAGAUAUCUUGAACUUAAGGCUUGAUUUUCUUGAAUUUCUUGUUCUUGGAGAAAACCAUAAUUGAUCUUAUUUUGAGAGUGAAGAGGAAGUUUUUGAUAUUGUAAAACUAAUAAUGAUUGAUUAAUAACACUUAAGGGGUAAUUUAAUUCAUGUGAAAGGUUUUUGGAGUGAGGAAAAAAACAAAAUACCCCUAAGAAACCUAAAAAAAUUACAUAAUUGCAUCAGUUGAUGACCAGGGUUGACAGGUCGUCACUCAGGUGAUAAGUCAUCACCCAGGUCAUCACUUUUGGGCUGGUUUUCACCAUUCACUGCCUUAGGCUGAUAACCAGGUUUGACGGGCCGUCACACAGCUGAUAAGUCGUCAGCCUCAUCAUCACAUUUUGGUAGACAAACACUUCGAAGUAAAAUAAACAUAACUUUCUACUUCGAUAUUAGAUUAAAGUGAAACCAGUAGCGUUGAAAAGAGGACUCAUAGAAAUUUCAUUUGAUAUAUAGUAGACCUCCUAAUUCAUUAUAUAUAAAGAGUUAUGGUCGAUUGAAGUUGACCCAUGUUUUGAUGCUCACUCAAACUCGAAUGAUAGGAAAGCUUUCAACUCGUCCUUGAGUUAGGGGACCUCUAUGAUCUCAAUUCAUGCUCAAAUAAGUUCUCACACUACACAAUUUAAUUAAUAUACCAAAUUUUCAUAGGAUUUAUGGAUUUUGGAUCAUCUACACAUAGAAAUGAUGGUUUUCGUUCUAGCCCGAAAUGCGGGGUGUUACAUUAUCUCCCCCUUGGGAUCAUUCAUCCCCGAAUGAUGGGUAGGAAUGUUGAAGUCUUAAAGAUAUGGAAUAACGUGGACAUUAUAUGUCUUCUAAGAAGGGAUAUAGCCGAGCUGAAACAUUUAAACUUCUAUCAUGAAACUGGAUUCUGAGAUGACUUGACUUUACUUGCUUUAAGGAGCUGAUUCAUGCUGAAAGUUUAGGAUUCCCUUGAAGUGUUCAUGAUCCAAUCAUAUAUAUUGAAUUGAGAAGUGAUAACUAAGGCAAGUAUGAAUCAUGAGGUAACAAGACUUAGACUGCACCUGGGUAUUACACUGUCUGAGCUAAAAUACUUGGAAAAAAUUUGAGAUUAUUCACUGAACUCUUAUGAACUGAGUCAUGACUAAAUUGCUGAAUUUGAAACAUGAUGCUUGGACUGAACUAGAUUCGUAAUUUACGUGGAUGGAAGAGAUUAUAUCUUCAACACUUUCUAAAGAAGUUCUAGUAGCAUUAGGGAGCAAAGAAUCAUAGGCAUGAUUUACACAAGACAUCCAACUAAGGAAUCAUAUCCUUGGCACUACUCUAUUGCAUGGAAUAUAGACAUUUAACUCAUAAGCUAGGAUAGAAUUUCCAGGCCUUAGGCAAUGCAGCUUCUUACUUUCAAGCUUAGCACACUUCUAGAAUACUCCCUUAACUAUACUAUCCCAUUCAAAUACCAUAUACAUUUGAUUCAACUUAUAAUUCUCAUAUUGGCAUUGAUAACUAAUUCUACUAAUGUCUAAAGUAGCUUAAAUCCCUUCACCGUGAUCGAGCCUAACUUUAAAUCACAAAAUACAACCUGACACACCGCGGCACUAGUCUAAACCAUAUGAUUCAACCUUCUAUAUCUUUUUUAAGUUCACACCCUAAGCAUAACAUGCCUUACCACUUCAAUGACUAACUCUGAACUCUUACUAUGGAUUCACUAGCGCAUAUUGCAUCCCUCUACUUAAAUCCCAACAUGCCAUUCAAGACUAUCUUUAUAACCACAUAUGAACUUCAAGGCAAACACCCAUAAAGAAAUACUUCACAUUUUCUCUAAAACACUAUUAAAUAACUCCCACACGCUACCCCAAGAACAUACACACACAAAUUUUCACUAACCAUCACAUGUAUCAAAAACUUGGCCCCAAAUCUUACUUCACCCUUAUGGUCUUAUCCAAAACAAGCAUACAAUUAUCUUUUAUCAACAAGAAACAUUUACUCAUCACCACUAUCAUUACAUAAGAAGGAGUCACAAAAAGGUUAGAACAUAAGACCUUGAAGUAUGGAAGGAUAUUAUACGAGACUCGACACUGAACUGAGGCAUGAGGAAUAGCGAAUCAACAUCAGGGAUUUAUCAAAGUGAUCUAAAUCAAGAGUAUACCUGUUUAUAAGCUGAAUCUUUCCAGUCAUUUGGUCUGUAGCAUGAGUUAUAAGAACUAAGCACACUAUAAAGCGUGAGUACAUAAGUCAUGAGCUGCAUUUGGAGUUCAUAACUUAUGGAAUGUGAUCCCGACUAUUGAAUGAACUAGAAUUCCUUAUUUAGGAACUGGAAGAGCACGUGAUUCUCAGUCAUAUACAUAAACAUGAACUAUGAUCAUAAAAUUAAAAUGUAAGGCAUAAGUAGGUAUUAGGAUAACUGAAAAUACAGAAACAAGAAUGGGUUGAGCCUCACCCUCACCUUCAGAUGUUCUAUAUCAUAUUGGCAUUUCUACUAAGAAUCUGAGAGCCUGAUUUAGUUACUAUCUCUAUCAUCUCCCCCUUAGCUCCAAGCCAUCAUCUUAAGUUUGAGAGAUCCCUUACUAGACUCUAACUGAACUACACUUACUGCACUCUAGGGUCUUGAAUACGACAAUACAUGUAAUUAAUAGAACUUAACCCGAAUGACUACACUUGAAAGUGGAAAACCCACUAUUAAUACUACCUUCUGAGAUGCACUCUAUCUUUCUAUAGCCACCAAUAGUCAUCAUAUAAUACUUGAACACUUACUAACUUCGAAUCUUAAUGAAUAUCCCCAUAGUUGAAGUGCACACCCUCUGGUGCUUCUAUUCUUAUUUCUAUUAGUUCAACCUUCAAAACUCAAACUUAGAUUCUAACACUUAACAUGGAUAUCAUCAAGCCUUUGAUGAACCAUACUUCUUCUGUCAUAUCCUACCAAUAUUGUGACCCCAAACUUAUAUCUCUCUACCAUGAGGAUCAAGAUCAUAUCAAAAGGUUCAACACUAUAAGUCAAAAACUCCUUAACUUGUCCAUUUAGAACACCUUGUACCAUCUAACUAGUCUUUCUCCACCUAGAAACUCAACGGUACCACCAGCCACACACAACAUGUAAUAGCCUUAGAAAAAAAAUACCGCAACCUCAUAUCACCUUGGGCAUACUUCAUCCUCAUGCAUACAACAUCAUACUUCAUUACGAAUCAAAUAAACUUAAUCUAUUGCAUACACCGUUCAAUCCUAUUAGAUUACUUCUAUAUAACUAGUAUCAUUAAUUAAGAAAUCAUCACAUACACCUCCAUGGCCAUCAACUGAUCAAACUUAAUAUUUAGUGCUAGACAUGAUUUACAACCCAACCUUAUGCACAAUCCUCACUUGGAAACUAUGAAAUAAACAUCAAGAAAUACUAGUACACUAGAAUUUUAUAACAAUAAUAAUCGAUCAUGACCUUAUGGUUUUCCUUAUCAUAACUCAUUAGCACGUACUAUUUCAACACAUUAAGCCUACUAAUUUAUUCCUACAAAACAUACAUCAUUAAUCUCAUGCCACUAUUCUUACCACCAAAUUCUACAUUUAAAUUCAACCCUAUAGUCUAGCAUCAAUUAUCUACCACCAAUUAAGAAUGCAACAUGAUAUACUAGUCCAUCAAAUUGGGAAAUUCUACCCAAAUACUUCAUUUUAUCUAGAUACUACCCAUAACCAAAACACCUUUAUGACAUUACUACUAUACCUCCAAAUCUACUACAUACCUUCUCACAAGUAGUACUAGUUUACAACUACGAAAGAAAAAAAGGUUAAGGGGAUAAAGUCACUUAUCAGACAUGAUCAACCUUAACCUUAUAUUAUACUUCAAUACAAUCUUAUCUACACAAAAGUCACCCUUACUCUGACUUUUAACCUUAUGACUUCAUAUCAUCAACUUCUUGAUCUAAUCUCACCAGCAAUAGGUCAUGACACCAACGCUUUGACUUAUACUACUACUCGGGUGGAAAUACAGUUCCAACAAACACAAGAACAACAAGAUGAACAACAAGUUGCUAGUGAAUCAAAAUAGGUCUCACACGGCUUCACUAGACUUUGAUUUUGUGUUUUGAACAAGAAAAUGGAAUGAAUCGCAAAACAACUAUUCUAGUGAAUCGAAAGAGCCCCACACAACUUCACUAGACUUUUGUUUCAACAACAUAAUUAUAUCAAGAUUACAAGAGAUAGAAACUUGACGCACAAUAUUUAAUGACCCAAGAAUACACAUCUUACUCUUUUCUUAACUGAACGGAUCUUAAGAACGAAGACACAAUAUUUAAUGACCCAAGAAUAGACAUUUUACUCUUGUCUUAACUGAACGCAUCUUAAGAACGAGGACACAAUUUUAAAAUUAAGGGACUUAUGACACAUCAAGGAGCUCCUAUCAAGCCCUUUGUGUGACUUCUGAAAUUUUUGUUAGUAAAUCUGAGAGCAUUAUCUGAGAACACCAUAAUAAGGAAAAGAAUUAGGAUAACUUUUCUUUCGUAUGGGCGACACCAUAGCACAAAUUAGAAUAUGAAGGAGGAACAUUCUGACUCUAUAGCACGAACUAAAACAUGAAGAAAGAGAGACAUUCCUAAACGCCUAGUAGCCUCCUACUGUAAGUGUGGUGCGCUACACACCCAUAAAUAAGACUCUACCCAACGCAAUUUUGCAAAUACCCUGGGACCAUGAACCGUGCUGGGAUACCAAGUUUUUCAUGAUCUGAACUAGGGCCUGGCUAUGACGGACAUCCCAAACCAUGAAGUCCCGGGCGUCCUACUCUAUCUAGUAGUUAUGCACAAUAUUCCUAUAAUAAAAGAAAAUGUGGAAUUUUGAUCUAAUACGGAAACAUGGUCAUACUUUGGAUUAAGUUUAACAAUAAAGAAUGAAAUCUGAAAUCAACUAAAAAAUAGUUGGAACAGUCUGCGACAGCUCUACUACAUGAAAAUAUGACAACUAUCUGAAAAUUGGGACAAGGCCCCUAGUAGACCGAAACUAUAAUAGAUGACAUAAUCUGAAAGGACAAGCCUUAUGGGAUAGAGAAGGUUUACCACUGCAUAAUUUGAUCUAUUUUCUGAAUUAUCUACUUGCUUAGCUGGACCCCUAGAUUGAGCCUCCAAACUUGGGAGGUAGGGGAUCAAUACAGAUGUACUGGUGCACAGAUUAAAUCCAAAAUAAUCAUUUAUAUUCAACAUAUAUGAGAGCAAUUAAAAAUAGUUCAUAAACAUAUCAUAUAGUAAGAAGUCACAUAGGUAUUUUAAAAGACUAUGAAAAUAUCUGAAAUAUAUGCCACUCUUUGUCUUACUUCUGCGCUAGGUGGUGUACCUUACAAUCUGUAAUCCCACGGGUUAUAUGGGAUCUACCAUUAACUGGAUAGCCAAGCCCCCAACCCAAGUGUGCCGCAACAUUCGGAGUCUCUGAAUAUACUACGCCUCACGGCCAUCACCAACAUACAAUAAUAAUCUACCUGUAUCGGUAAAUUCUUGAACUCAUGCCUUAUUCGGGUAACCACCUAACCCUCUUUAUUCCCAUUUUUAGUUUUUUAAAUAUGCAUGCUCUAAAAACCUACUCUGAAAUUAACUUGCAAGUCAUAUUCUCUGAGCCAUUCAUAAUAAUUUAUAUCUCUGUUUUCAAAUCAUGAAAUUUAGGACCACCAUAUAAACAAUUCUUUCAAAAAACUCUUGUAAAACUAUGCAGUUAAUUCUCUUCAUCAAUGAUUCCGUAAACAAAGGUGGUCAUGUUAAAAGUCUCAAUCUUAUGCAAUUCUUUCUCUUUAACAUCACAUAGUUAUAUAAAGAAACACCCUCUCAACAAUUUGAAAUCAUAUUCAAGUACAAGGACAUUAAGAAAACAUCUUUCAAAUCAUAAAACAUGCAUUUCAGCUCUUUUCCAAAAAAAACCAUAAGCUUUAAUCCAAUACAAGAGAGGGAGUUCACAAUUUAUUCUCUCAAACAAUCUUAAAUCUCAAAUUCCAUAUAUAUACAUAUACAUGUAAAUGAAUUUAGGGGAUAGGACCACAAGGUCAAAAUAAUAGUAACAUUAAAACAUUCGAAGUACGUAAUUUAGAACAUAGAUUCCAGAACCCCUUUAAAAUUCAUGCAUUAAAAUCUUAAAAUCAUGCUCUAAUGGUUUUAAGCCCAUGUAUUUUUAAGGAUAACCCCACGUACCUUAAAUUAUAAGAUCUGAAUGAUGGAACCUAGAUCUUGAUAGAUGAAACCCGAUUUUGAUUUGUUUCUUGGAGAUCUUGAACUUAAGGCUUGAUUUUCUUGAAUUUCUUGUUCUUGGAGAAAACCCUAAUUGAUCUUAUUUUGAGAGGGAAGAGGAAUUUUUUGAUGUUGUAAAACUGAUAAUGAUUGAUUAAUAAUACUUAAGGGAUGAUUUAAUUCAUAUGAAAGGUUUAUGGAGUGAGGGAGAGACCAAACUACCCCUAAGGAACCAAAAAUAAUUGCAUAAUUGCAUCAGUUGAUGACCAGGGUUGAUGGGCCAUUACUCAGGUGAUAAGUCAUCACCCAGGUCAUCACUUUUGGGUUGGUUGUCACCAUUCACUGCCUUAGGCUAACGACCAGCUCUGACGAGCUGUUACACAGCUGAUAAGUCGUCAGCCUCCUCAUCACGUUUUGGCAGAUACUUCAAAGUAAAAUGAACAUAACUUUCUACUCCGAUAUCUGAUUAAAGAAAAACCAGUGGAGUUGGGUAGAGGACUCAAAGAACUUUUAUUUGAUAUAUAGUAGGAAUCCUAAUUCGUUAUAUACAAAGAGUUAUUGUUGAUUGUAGUUGACCCAAGUUUUGACGCUCACUCAAACUCGAAUGAUAGGAAAGCUUUCAACUCGUCCUUGAGUUAGGGGACCUCUAUGAUCUCAAUUUAUACUCAAAUAGGUUUCCAAACAACAUAAUUGAUUAACAUACCAAAUUUGCAUAGGUUUUUGUGGAAUUUGGAUCAUCUACACAUAGAAAUGAUGGUUUUUGUUCUAUUCCAAAAUGUGGGGUGUUACAAUAACCAAUUUUAACCACCUCCAGUAUCAAAAGGGUAUCCUUAGGUGGCCGAGCUGUGGUAGCGGCUUAGGACUUAGAGGCUCCCAAGUUUCCUCUAGCUGAGGGGCAAUUUUUUUUAGGUAUGGCCUACCUGGUCACACUUGUAGCACAAGUUACUUUCUAUAUAGCAUAUUCCAGGAUGAUUAUUUCCACAGGUGUUACAAUGAGGGUAUUAUUUGUACGAUUGAGCCACACUUUCCUGAGAUUGAGUGCCCUAAACUUGUGGCCCGUUUUUAGAUUAAAAAUUUUGAAAAUGUUGAUCGACUUGAGUUAUGGGUGGUGGGGAUCUAGCUGAUGACUAUGUAUUGCUCUAAAAUUUCUUCUUAUACCAUUUCUUAUCCUAUUUUUCACCUUGCUGUUGACUGACAUUCCGAUCUCCAGACUUAGCCUUCUUAGCCUGCUUUUUUUUCCUCUACCUCUGUCUGCCUCUUCUUUACCUCUUCUACUUACUGCAUAUACACUGUAGCUUGAAGAUAUUCAUGUUCUUGUUAAGCACUUGCCCCUUACAUACUAACACCACAACAUCCUAGAGACCAGAUGCGAACUUCCUUAUACAAGCCCGCAUAUUGCACACUAAUUAAUAAAGUGAACUCUCAUUUAACAUAAUGAGCAUUUAUAAUUAUAAAAUGAGCCUUUAUAAUUAAUAAAGCGUGGUCUUAUUUGAUCAUUACAUAAUGUCAACCCAUAAUGAUAGUAAAACAUUUAAAGUCAACUUUUAGUCAUGCAUUCGAACAACCCAUACAUGUUAAGACUAUAAAUCUCAGCAUGCAAGGGGAAAUUUCAUAAACCAUGUACAUAAUUCACUUUUAAAAAGCCACUUCAUAUAUUCACAUGAUUAUGAUUCUAAUUUAUAGAAAAAUUACACAUUUUUAUCAAAAUAGUUUCAUAAUACGCGUUUUCAAACUAUUUCUACAAUCCUUUAAUUAUACAUAAUUGUAGAUCUUUAAAACAUGUUAAAACAGUAAACCUAUGCCCAUGAGAUUUAGAAUAGUCCCACAUACCUUGAUAACGAUGAAAACAUAGGGAAUUUGACCUUUGAAGCUUAAAAUUUCCAACCCUAUGUAGUUUUCUCCUCUCUUGAUAUUGAAUGAUUGUUUAGGGAUUUUUAGAGUUGAUAUAAUGUUUAUGGAUGUUUUAAAUCGUGGGGAACGGGUUUAAUGGGAAAAGAUAAAAAAUCUCCCCUUGGACUUUAAAUAAAAUCACAGAAAAACACAACCUCUGUAGAGCGGUGGCUAUUGUGGAGGCUAUCCUCCACUCCGCAGAUCCUAUCGCGGACACCAGCCUCUGCAACACUGGGCUAUCGUGGAGGCUUACCGCCUCUUUGUUCCAAAACUUCCCCAAACUCUAUCCAAAAAUUCUUAAAUUCUUCCGGGUUACCUUUUUAACAUCUUCGAACAUGAUUUGAGUAAAAAAUUAAUAUUCAAGUACGAAAAAACAAAAAAUAAAAUACCCAAAAAGUUUAAGGGUGUUACAGGAUCACUUCAUUAUUAAUUCCUUUAUUAUUAUUAUUAUUAUUAUUAUUAUUAUUAUUAUAAUAUCACCAUGUCGUCUCGUGGCGUCUAAUCCACUCACAUCUCAUAGCAAUAUUAAAAUUUAACGUCGACCACAUUGCUUGAGAAAUCAAUGAAGUAGAAAUACCCGAAUUUAACAUCGGACAUAUUGCUAAUAAUUUUUUCAUACGUAACAACUAUGUGUUUCUAAACCUUGCAAUUAAAACACUGUUAGUUUGUUAUCAGCUUAUUAAACUGAAUGAUCAUUUAAAAUCAACACUAAUCUGUACACACAUGCUAAGGGACUUAUUUUUGUCCAACUAGUCAUGACCUCUAGAGGACAAUCUAAGUCCCAGUAACAUACUGUGUGGUACCCGAUCCUCCAUCAAUAAAUUAUAUCAAUAACCAUAUUCGUACCCGUGUGACAUUUGAUCCUCCAUAAAGAAGUAAUAUCAGUAUCUAUAUUUGUACCGGUAUGAUGCCUGAUCUUCCAUAAUCAUAUUAUAUAUAUUUUAUCAAAUUCACACUAUCUUUCAGAAUACAAUACGCCGUACUAAAUUUACAAGUACACUUAAAAUCAAAAGGCAAUUUGUCAUGACCCGAGUUGAGGCCCUAGCUGCAACGGGCAUCCCGAACCAUCAAGGUUCGAGACAACCCUUUAACUCCCCAACCCACUAGUGAUAUUGUCCGCUUUGGGCCAGGCCCGCACAGCUUUAAAAUGCAUCACUAGGGAGUAAGUCAUUUCUUACUUAUAUACCUAAUAUCCCUCCUGAAUUUUGCCGAUGUGGGACUUCCUCCUAAGUUGGGUGUUACAUACACCCCCACUUAUGGACUCAGCAUCCUCGCUGAGGUUUGCCCCACCGAAUUGGAUUUGCCUACAAUCAGGACUGACAUUUGCCCCGCCUUAUCGAGAUUCUCCUACACUUAGUUUGAACUCUGGCCCACAUCGAGAGGGCUGACACAAGAGCGGCUCUGAUACCAUUCUGUCAUGACCCAACCCGAGGCCCUAGCCGAGAUGGACAUCCUGAACCAUCAAGGUCCGAGACACCCAUCUAACUCCCCAACCCACUAGUGAUAUUGUCCACUUUGGGCUAGGCCCGCACGACUUUAAAACACGUCGCUAGGGAGUAAAGCUUUUCUUUCUUAUAUACCCAGUAUCCCUCAUGUGUUUUGUCGAUAUGAGACUUCUUCCUAAGUUGGGGUGUUACACAAUUCAAUCAAGUUCUUUCAUUUAUCAAUAUUUUGACCCUCUCAAGGGCAUUAUUUAAGUAGUUCAUUAUGAUUAUCAACAAGCCAGUCCUGACAUUACUUCAAGGAGGUAUCAUUAUCAAAUAAGCCUCUCAAAGACACAACUCAAUAAAUCAUCAUUAUCACCGAUUUAGCCUAUCACGGCAUCCAAUAGAUAAAGUAGUUUUAUCGAUACCAAGAUAAGAAUAUCAUAAAUAAAUCACAAUAUAAAAAUUAAGCAUACAAGUCACUAUUGGAGUCUUAAUUACUCAUUAUUAUUAAAAUACCACUACUUUCUUAAAUACCGCAACUUGAAUUCUAAUAUCACCACCUAUAAUUAGCAUAUCAAGCAUAUCAUUAUCGUCGACUUCUUUCCACAUAAUACAAUUCUAAUAAUGUUUUCAGGCAAUUAUCCUUUAAUAUUACCAUGCUCAUCAAUAUUUGACCCUAGCGUAAUUCUCCUCGUCAUAUUAUUGUACAACAUAUAACUUAAUAUCUUUGUAACUAAUCUAGAACCAUCACUAGAACAACUUAAUGACAUCACACUUUCACACUUUAUUCAUAAAUAAUUUUUGGACACAUAGCGUAUAGUAUCAUUGCAGUAACACAUAAUCAAUCAAUAACGUAAUUUUUGGAAUUAAAGUAAAGUUCUUAUGUCUUUAUCCACCUCAACUUCAUGCCCGCAAGACUAGACAUGUUGUCUCCCAUUAAUUCUAAAUUAUAAAAAUAUGAAAUAGCACAAUUUUAUAAUCAUUAACCUAGCCUACCUAGACGUCAAGCUUUUGGAGAAGCAAACUGCAACAAGGUUGCUCUUUCCUUUCCUUGAUGCCUUGGAAUAAUCAAUCAUCUAAAAAUCAAACAAUUAUAAGAGUAAUUAAAUAAUUAUUCUUCAAACAAAUAUCGUGGUGAUUAAAACCCACUAAUUCUACCUUUAAUUCAAGGUCUAUAUCAUUUUCCAAGGUCAAUUAUCCAUUAGCUAGAUCUUUCAAAUUUAAACUAUCUCCAUUAAUUGAGGUUUUAUGCUAAAUGUCACAUUUUUACGAAAUUCAAGGUUUCUAACUUACAAAUCUUAAUCUAGUUUACGAAAUUCAUGUUAGAAAUCAUUAAUUCAUAAUUUAGAAUCAACUCUAGGUCAUAUUAAAAUCACCCAUGAGUUUUUCACUAAAAAAUUCCACCAUUAAAGGUCUUUCUAAGGAUUCUAAGAUGUUAAAGGAUUAAAAGACAAAGAAAAUAUGAAAAAACUUACCUCAAUGAAGGACUUUGACCUUAAGCUUUAAGAAAUAACCUAUCCAAGUUUAGGGAAUCAACUUUGGGAUAGACCUAAAAUAUGACUGAAAUUGAUUUACAUACCACCAGAAUUCUCGUUACAGGAAAAUUCCUGUUUCAGUCCAGACAAUGCUCAGUAAAAUAGUCAUAACUUUGUACUACAAAUUUAAAUUUACGAACGAUUUAUUGCAUUUGAAAGAGAACUCAAAUACCCUUUAUUUGUGGGUAUUGGGCCCCCUAGCUCCUUAAAUUCUAGGAGAUAUGGUUAUUUGAAGUUGACACUAAUAGAAACCCAUAUGGAAAUUCUAUCAGAAAGAAAGUUUUAAACUUAAUUUUGUGUUAGGGAUAUUGUACGACCUUAAUUCACACCUAAAGAACUCCAAACGAAAGUAUUGAUAUUAUUACUCAUGAAUAAUUAAAUUCAUCGGGUUUGAGUCUAUCUAGACACAUCGAAAGAUUUAAAUCUUAGCCAAAAAGCUUGAGGUGACACAAUCAAUAAAAUGAUCGUUAUUUUGGCUUCAAGUUAAUAUUACCGAAUGAAAAAUAAGAUUUUUCACAAAUUUAUCAUGGAUAAUUUUGUAAUGACUAGAUGGACCGUUACACUUACGAAAAACAAACCAAUAUAUCAGUAGUUUUUUUUCACAACUAUAAGUUUAGAUCAUAUCUAAAUUUAUUAACAAUAACUUUUAUCAUUAUUUAAUUAUUUUUUAUUUAUUUUAAAAAAUUAAUUAGAGUCAUAUUACCUUAACACAGUCCCUAUUGUCCUUUUAUAUGCAUUUGUUUAGUAAUAUUUUUUGUUAAUUUUUUUUAGUGUUUAAUUUAUAUUUACAAUUCAAAUAAUGAUUAAGAAUUACUUAUACUUUGUUUUAAGAAUGAUAAAUUGAACGUUAGUAUUAAGGGUUCUUAAAAUUUAAAAUGUAUUUGACUUUUAAAAAAUCCAUAUAUAUGAUUGAAUUAGAAAGACAAGUAAAGAAGAAAAAAAAAGAGCUCAAAUUGAGAUCUUUAUUUGCAUAUGAGUAAUAAAUAUAAAUAUUUUUUAAAAAAAGGAAUAAAAAAUUUAUAUAUUUUUUUAUAAUCACCAUAACAAGAUCUUCCUCCAUUUCCACUGCUACCUAUGGAGCCAUCGUAGUUGGUGGUUACCGUCUGAACGUUGACAUACCCCUGAGGUGUUACGGGGCAGGGAUGUGUGUGUGCCUUCAUAAUUUGUAACAACUAUGUUGUUGUGCAACGAUAGUAGCUCUUGCAUGCACAAAAAAUUUAUAUAUGCAUUUGAGACGUUUAUUUUAGCAGUAACAAAAAAUAGAUUAGCUACUUUAAGAAAGGAAAAAAAUGAAAUACUCCCUCUAUUUCAACGUAUUUGUUUUAUUACUUUCCUCCUUUGAAAUCAUUUUUUAUUACUUUUCUCUUUUGACAACUUUUUAAUUUUAACUUUACAUCUGAUAUGUUCAAGACCAAGGGUGGCAAUUGGACUGAUUAGUCAAAACGGGUCAAGGUCCAACCUGAUCCAAAUUUAUUUGAGUCAAAACGGGUUGGGUCAAAACAAGUUAGGUACCGAUUCAUAAAAAUGGGUUGGAUCACAACAAGUUAGGUACCAGUUCAUAACUCAAUCAGCCUAAUUCGAACUAAGUUUUAAUUGUAUUAUUUGUUAUUUAAUAAAUUUUUAGUACCAAAUGAAAUUAUUUUUUCGUUAUUAUGACUAUAUAUAUAACAUAUCAAUAAAGUCCUUAUAAUAUUUAACAAGAUUUCUCAAAAAUCAAUUCGGAUUACAUAUCAAUCCAAUUUAAACAAGUUGACAUGGAUUGAGCUAAUAAUGGGCAGAUCAAUAACCAACUCAAACUCAAAUGUACAGGGUUGGAUUGGAACUGUUGGGUUUGAUUUUAGCAUAUCUAUUCAUGACCACAAGAUAGGGGUGUGCAUCGGUCGGUUCGAUUCAGUUUUGAGUAUUACUGAUUCAGUUUAUUGAUUUUUGAUUUGUCAACAUGCUAAAUCAAUAAGAUGCUUGUUAUCGGUUUUUGGUUUAUCGAUUUUGAUCCUUAAUGGUUUGAUUUAUUGAUUUAACCGAUAAGAAAAUGCCCCCUUUUAUUAUUUUCACCUUCUUUUCUUAUUUUCAUAUGUUCAUAUGUGUACACUACCUUCAUGCAUAAAAGCCUACACAAAGUAAAAGUAGAAGAAAAUUCAAAUACAUUAUUACUAAAACAAACUUGUUUUCAUUUUAGUUAAGUGGCGAACUACAAUGCAGUAGCAAUUGAUAGCGAUCUCUCAAAAAAGAAAAUCAAUGUAGAUUUAUAGUUCAUAUUAAUGGGUGAAAACUCAACAAGCCUAUAAGUUUGUAAAAAAGAGAAUAGCAGUAAGACAACAACUAUAAAAAUGCAAUAAAUAAUAGGGUAUGUAUUUAAAAUAUAAAGCCACUAUUAUAUAACUAGGGAUCAAAAUAUAAUUUUUAAUAUAUUCUUAUUGGGUUAUUGGUUUAACCGUUAAAUAUAAUCUUAAAACCAGAAAUCAAAUUGAUAUCCCAGUAAAAGGGUUUUUAAAAUUGUUAACCCAAUAAACCAAAACUGAUAAACCAAUAAUGAUUGUUUUGAUUUGAUUUAUCGAUUAAUCGUUUUUUUCCCACCCCUACCACAAGAUUAAUGAAAAGUUUGGUACUUUCAAAACAUCUUUUAUUUAAGACCAAAUUCUUUACUUUCUUAAAUUUAAUGUAAAUCAGACAAACAAAUUAAAACAGAAGUAGUAUACAAAAUAGUGAAAGAAAACCUUCCAAUUAAGACAAAUUACACUCUCUCGAUUUUAUUAACAAGGAUACAUCUAAGAAAGUUAGAUUUUUGCACAUACCAAUAGUUUUUGUAGAAUUUAUAAUUUUAAACCUUCUAGGACAUAUUAUAUCAUUAAGGGUUAACCCGAAAAAGUUUAAAUUUAGAGAAUUUCGAAUACGAAAAUGCACGACUUGUUUAAUAAGAUCAAGAAUGAAAAAAUAUCAUAGCAAAUAAAAGAAAAGAGAUAUCGAUGGAAAUAAAGAGAGGAAGUAGCAAGUUAUCAGCCGGGGUAAGAAAUUGUCAUAUCAUCAAAGUCAAGUCAUAUUUACCUAUUAUCGCAUCUAACAUGUCCUAAUAUACAAAAAAUCAAAUCUCUACCUAACUGAAAAUUUUCCAAAAAAAAAAAUCCUCAUUCAUUUCAAAAUUUUCAAAACUAUGGAAUUAAUCAUCAUAUAUGAAUAUAUUAUUUUAAAAAGUAAUAAAAUGAAAUUAAUCAACUUACAUAAUCAAGAUAUAUGUUGGCUUAAUGUCUUGAUUUUCGCUUUCUACUAGUAAGAGAUUUUAAAAUAUCUUCAAUUACCAAAAUACUUAUGCAUGUACAUUAUACAUGGACCUACGUGACACAACAAUGUUGUAACAACCAGUUUUUUCAUGAAAUAUGUGAAAUGUGUAUUUUCAUGUGAUUUGACUGUUUUACCCCUUCAUGUAAUUGUAUUAUAGUAUUUCUGAGGUGUACGGGUAAUUGAGACGUUCCCCAUGCAUUUUGGUACUAUUUAUGCAAUAUUGUAGUUUUUGACGGCUUUGAGAGCCUUAUUUUGCACUUCUAUGGUUAUCUUAUGAUCCGUAUGAUGGAUGUCUAAACAGAGUGCACUAGAAGAUUCGGAAUGUUAAUUUUAGGGUGGUAACAUAUUUGGUUUGGUUUUAUGGCUUUUAAAUAUCAUUUCGAUCCUCGAUUUGAAAAAUUGUGUUUUUAAAUUUUGGGGUUCAACUAUGUGAAAACGAUAUCUUUUGAAAAUGUGACUUUGUUAAUGCGUCCAAAACAUUAAAUUUAGUGGGUUACAUAGUUUAUUUGCAUAAAUCGGAUUUCGAACGAAUCACGGGCACUCUAUCGAAGUCCGUUUGGGACUUAAAAAUUUGGUGCACCUGUAAAACACAUGUGGUGAAUGAGUUUUAUGCCUUAAAGGUAAAACGCAUUUGGAAAGUGCGAUUUAUGCCCUUUUUGUUCCAGGGAACCAGGUGCAGUAUAAAAAGGCCUAUUUUACCCGAUUUUAGCUCAUUUUUCACCUUGUCUAUUGAGAGUUAAACCCUAAAAUAGUAUGAGAUCUUAAAAGUGAAUCUUGUGGGUGCUUAGGAAGCUAUAUUAAAUAUACUUCUUGAUUCUAUUAUGAAUUUAAGGUGAGAUUUCAUCCUUUUCUUAGUAAUGCCCUGAAAUUAAAUUCUCGGGACUCCACACGGUGCUCCGAAAUACAAGUAUCCUUGCGUUAACCCUGGUUUCUUUGUACUAAAUCUGAAUCACAAAAUAGGAAAAAAUGAACAUGAAAACAUAAUAAAUGCGAAAAUCUUAUCUGAAGCGUACUAAUCUCACAACUCUUGAUAAAAUAAUAACGAAAAAUCUAGAUACAGAAUCAAAAGUCUAAACUGAAUCUAGUAGUCCGACAAGUCUUUACUGACUGAAUCUAUAGAGUCACUAGGACAGGCCCCAGUUGACUCAAACUGUCUGAAAUAAAUAAUGAAAUGUCUACUAAUAACUUGGUAAUAUGAAUAACUAAGCCCCCGAACUAUGAGGACUCACCAACUGUAUGGAUAUAGAUGAGAUGCUCAAAAAACACGCAUGCUGCUGAGACUGAGCACCUGAACCUACACUAUGAGAUAAUGUAGCACAUAGACGUAUAUAUGGAUCAAUACUUUGAUGAUGUACUGAGUAUAUGGGGGUGAAUGCAAUAAGUAAAUAAUGUCAUCAUAGUUUACAAAAUUAUGCAUGCUAAAUGUAAAUGACUUACUUAGGCUUGAGUAAUCUGAAAUCUGAAGAUCAUAAAUCAUAAAUAGUAAAGCAUAUAAUGUAAAUCUUGUUAGUCAUAACACUUAGUUCUAAAAUCUGAAUUUCAAUUUUGUUCUCAAAUCAUACAGUCUAAGUGAAAAGGGCUCACCUCUUUUUAUCUGAAAACUAAAAGUUGUAGUUCUGUAACUAAAAUCUUAAGUAAAGUAAUAUCUAAGUUAGUUUGUGAGCCUUUACACUUAGUUUCUAAAAUCUGGGAAAUACUUUAUCUUUUAUCUGAAGGGAAUUCUUUCAAAACUUUUCUUUACUAAUGAGGUUCUUCUAAUCGACAUAAACCAUGUGAACAUUCAUGGAGUCCAACGUCUCAUCUUCCUAAGAAAGAAUCCUCACGUUGGGGAGAGGAGUCAUACUCUUGGCAGGGAGUAUAACCUAUCUAGGUGAUCACAUAUCUAUCAUCCACAAAGAAGUGAGAAUAAUCUAAAUCCUACGUUGGCAUGUAGUUCUAGGGUAUGAAACCGUGGUAACGUACCUAUCUCGGUGCUAAAUACUACUUCCAUUAAAUCUGUAUGCUCAUUCUGAUGGAAAUCCACUUUUAAAAUAGUAUAGUGGUUUAUAAUGAAUUAAAACCUACUGUAUAUAUAUAAAGCUAAAUCUGUAAUCUGAAUCUGUAAAAUAGAUUUCAUAUCUAUUCUGAGAUCAAAAGGUCAAAUCUUUAUCAAUAAUCUGAAAGGAAUCUAGUCAUAGGGUGCUUAUAGCACAACAAUUUUUGAAAUAGCAAUUUUUAAUUAUGGCUUAAUGACCCAUGUAUCAAACUCAAGUUAAAACAUCAAUAUGUUCAUGCUUGAUAAUGCAAACAUUAAUAAUUCAAUUAAAAAUAUGGAAAUUUCUGCAUUAUGCAUAAAAAUAUGAACAUAAUCAUGUAAUUCAGCUUCAAAAUCAUUGAAAAUCUCAUAAUCUUAUGAAUAGCAAUAUUGGGUAUAAACUCUAACUUCAAUUUCAUGGGAAAUCACAUAAAAUCAAAUAACUUUUGUAAUUAAAAAUAAUUUUUGGGCACAAGGAUGAAAGGAGUAUCCUUGUUCAUAACCUCACAUACCUUAAUUGAUGAUCUUUGAUGAAAAUCUUGAAUCUUGGAUUCCUAUUGUGCUUCGGAGAUAAUUCUUAGAGUUCUUGUAUUGGGAAUCCUUAAUCUUGAAUUUCUUUGGAGAAUUAAUGGAGGAAAUUUGGAUUUUUUUGAGGUAAAAGUUUAAUGAUCUAGGGUUUUCUUUUGAGAGAAAAGUGAUGAAAUAAGCAUAAAGUGCUUUGAUAUAUGUUUAAUGAUGUGUUUUGGACGGAUUAGGGCCCUGGGGAUUGAUAAAAAUUCCCCUAUUAAACUCUAAUUCAAGAUUGAAAAACGACCCAAAAAUCCCAACUCUACCUACCACUACGAUGCACCACUAUCACGGUGGCUUACUGGAAAUCGACAGCUGGGACCUGGAAACUUUCCGCGAUGCUCUACUAAGUUGCCAUUUGGACCAUCACCGCGAUGCACCACCAUCCCAGUGAGCCACUGGAAAUGAAAAAAUGGAAAAUAAGGCUUCUCCGCGAUGCAGCAAUAUCGCGGAGUCUUACUAGAAUUUGAUAAUUGUCAUUUAAACCCUCUCCGCGAUGCGCAAAUAACCGAAAUGAUGGUGUUUUACGACUAAAACUUAAAAUAGCCAUAAUUUCUUACUCACUAGUCGAAUUUAGGUAAAUCUUAUAUCGUUGGAAAGCUUCUUGAAUUUCCCACACGAUGGAAGGUCUAAAUCUGAAGAAUUCCACAUGAAAUAAAUACUUGUUUAUUUUGGAAGCUAUCCCUUAACAUUCUAGGGAUGGAUUUUAGCUAAAAAGAGGUACGCGGUAUUACAUUCUUACUCUAAUUUUUGAUUAAUUGUUCAAAAAUUCAAAAAUCUUAGAUCUUGAUUUUAAAUUUCAAUUUCACUCCUUUUCAAUUGAAUAAUGUUCUUAAUUCUAUAAUUACUAGUUUUCCAUCUAUCUCAUCUUCAAACAACUUUGAUUCUUGAUUUUAACACAGAUUUCAAUGAUUAUACUCGGCAAAAUUCAAAAUAAUUUUUCUUUGAUUUGAACCUCAUUUUGAAUUGAUUUGACUUGGGCUUUCAUCUAUAAAUUCCCAAAAAUAUGGAAAACAUUUUUGAAGUAAAGUUACAAUUUUUUUCCUUUUUAAAAACCCAUUUCGAGGAUUCGUUUUGAUCCCAAAUCAAAAGUAGGAAAUAUGGGUAUCGUUGAUUUUAUUUUGAAACAUAUAUUCUAUAUUUCAUAGUUUUAGUUGAUUUUGAGACCGUUCAUGAAAAGUAAGGUCUUGGGUUCAAAGUAUAGUGGACUGAUUUUGGCAUUUCAGGAAGGUUAUGACUUAACGCUUCAGAGUGGGAUAGGUAGUUAAUUUUUAUAUGAACUUUCAUGUUAUGGGUGAAAGAUAAUCAUGAAAUAUGUCUAUCUAUAUGUUGUGAUCGUGUGAGGGUCUAAAAGUGGUGUAAUGUAGAAUUUGAGAUAUCAUGUGAUACGUGUGACCAUAUGGGGUCUUAUGUGAUGUUGAUAGCCUAAAAUACAUGUGAAUAAUUCUAUUGUUUUGUUAGCAAUUCCUAUUAUGAUGCCUUGGGUGUAUUGUGAAAUAUACAUAAUUUAUGGGCAAAUGAACCAUGCAAAAAAUUCAUGGAUAGUGGAAUAAUGAUGAAUAUUGGCUCAUAUGGUUGAGGAAUUAUAACAUUGUGGUUGGUUGUGGAAAUACAUCAUAUGAAUUGAUUGUGGAAAUACUUAUUUUGAAUGCUUGUACAUAUUACAUCAUCAUUCUCCUGUCAUCAUACACAUUAUUUCACUUGUUUGUUUUAACGCUUAUUAUUUACUUGUUGUCAUGUAUGUGUACUUGAUUUGUGUAUUAUGAUAUGUAUGUGCUUUGGUAUCACUAGAAAUACUGAAUGUUCAUGGUGGAUGUUGGAUAUUAUGUGUUGGGUUCAAGAUCAAAGUGUGAAGGGAAAAGGGAGGGAACCAAGUGGAGGAAAAAAUUGAGAUAACCCUCAAAAAUUGGAAAGUUUACUAAAUUCUCACACAUUGGUGGGAUAAAAAAACAAUCAAGUGUUUAUAUUAAGAAACACUUACUCCACAUGGUAAGUGAGGCAAGAACCAAGAGGUGCCUUGCACCGUAAUUGUCGUUGCUUGCUCGGCUCGGCUUCAGCUUCGGCUUCAGAUUUGGAUUUGGAUUUAUUUGAUCGAUGAGAUAAAUUUUUUAGAAAAAAAUUAUUUGAAACAUAGGGAUCCAGUCCGAAAAGCCAAAGAGAAAACGUAACACGCAAAAUUUAUUUAUUGCAGUUUUUGAUCCUCCGUUAACGUGCAUGCUUCUGCAUGAAGAAACGUUGUUGUUGCGGCUUCUUGAAGAAACACAACUCUUCAAGUAAAAGACACACUAUUUUGGGAAAGUGUAUGACUGUUUGGAUGGUUUUGGCUGUUCAGAAAGGACACAUACUUUCUAAUGAAUAGACAUGGUUAUUUAAAAAGGAUACACCUUUCUGGUGAACGAUUGCCAUCUUUCGGAAGGGACACCUAAUGGCUAUAUAAACCUGCUUCUUUCCACAGGUUUAGACACGAAAAUUUUCCUGCAUUAAAACAUUCUUGCAUUCUGAAAUACUCUAUGUGCUCAUCUAAUCAUUGAGUGAGUUCGAAUAGAAUAGGAUCAUUUCAGGCACCACUAUCGUGGGAUUGUUAGGCCAUUUUAUCCUGGGAGGAAAAUUUUGGAACCUCGGGUACUUGAGGGGAAUUAUUUUCUUAAGGACACUUCGUGAAGUCAAAGGACUUGGCCUUUUUCUGUUUCAUCUAAUUUUUUGAAAAAAAUACUUCUUUAAAAGGUCAUUUUGAUCUUGUGUUGAAGGUGUUGGAUAACUUCAUAAGUGUUUUUGUUUUAUACUUGAACUUGUAUUGAAGUUGUUGUGCCGAAAUACAGAUUUUGUGUACUUGAAGACAACAAUCUUAAGAGAAUAAUUUUUCAAAUAUGUAUUACUUCAUUUAUGGAUAUUAAAGCUUUAAGAUUUUUACUCAGUUUGAACUUAACUAGUGCGUUUGCAGAAAUAAAAUCUUUAUCACAGGUUAAAGAUCACUCAGUUGACGAUUAAAGUCAUAAAAACUUCAUCGUUAAACUAGAAACAAAGGGGUAUUUAAAGUUGCUAUAACUUUAUAAGUAGUAUUUUGAUAUACUAAACUUACUGUCUUGCGGUGACAGCAAAAUUACUACUGACAGUCAAGUGUAUGCUACUGCAACGACUGUGGUAGCAACUAAUGUUGUCACAACGAGUCGUACGAGUACUCUGCAGGCAAUGGCACCAGCGGAGAAACUCAUAAAAUUCACGGGUGUUGAUUUCAAAAGGUGGCAACAGAAGGUGUUCUUCUACCUUACAACUUUGUGUCUUCAACGAUUUACAUCUGAAGAAGCACCAGAGGUGCUCGAAGGAACUUCGGACCAUGAGAAAUUUGUUGUUAUGGAGUGGAAACACUCAGAUUUCCUAUGAAGGAAUUAUAUUCUAAAUGGCCUCCAAGAUAAAUUAUACAAAGUGUAUAGUGGUAUGAAGACGAAAAAAAAGUUGUGACGGGAGCUGGAAAGAAAAUACAAGACUGAGAAUGCGAGAACCAAAAAGUUCUUCGUUGCAAGAUUUCUAGAGUUUAAAAUGAUUGAUAGCAAGUCGGUUGUAUCCCAAGUCCAGGAACUGCAAGUUAUCAUCCAUGAUCUCCUCGUGGAAGGUAUGAUUUUGAUGAAUACUAUAGUUCAAUAUAUUAAAAAUAUUCUUAAUGUUCACAUGAACUUAAUUAUAGGUUUAGUCAGGAAUGAGGCAUUUCAAGUUGCGACAAUAAUAGAGAAGUUACCACUGUUGUGGAAGGACUUUAAGAACUACUUAAAACAUAAGCGAAAGGAGAUGACAAUCAAAGAUCUUAUAGUAAGAUUGUGCAUUGAAGAAGAUAACAAAGCUGUAAAAAGAAGGUCGAAAGGAAAUUCUACAAUAGAUGGAGCAAAUAUUGUAGAAGACGACCACAACAACUUCAAAAAGCGGAAGAAAGUAGGACAGAAAAUCAAUCAACCCAAGAAGAAAUUCAAGAAAAAAUGCUUUAACUAUGAAAAGAUUGGCCACAAGUCAACAGAUUUUCGUGCCCCAAAGAAAGGGAAAAAGAAGGACCAAGCAAAUAUGGCCGAGUCUAAGAAAGAAAUGGACAAUAUGUAUGCCCUGCUAUCUAAAUACAACUUAGUGGGAAAUCCUCAAGAAUGGUUGAAGGAUUCUAGUUCCACCCGCCACGUUUGUGCUAAUAAGGAGUUAUUUCCUACUUUUGCUCUGGCUUAAGGGGAAGAGAGGAUACAUAUGGCCAACUCCGCAACUGCAAAAGUUGAAGGAACAUGAAAAGUCUACUUGAAAAUGACAUCAGGCAACGUGUUGACUUUAAACAAUGUCCUGUAUGUACUGGAGUUACGAAAGAACUUGAUUUCUGUAUUACUUCUUAAAAAAAAUGGAUUAAAAUAUGUAUUUGUUUCUAGAAAAAUUAUACUUAGUAAAGGAGAAUGUACGUAGAAAAAGGCUACCUCAAAGAGGGCCUAUUCAAAAUGAAUGUCAUGAAAUUUGAAAUCAAUAAAAUUUUAGUUUCUUCUUACUUGCUUGAGUCUUAUGAUUUGUGGCAUGAACGAAUAGGCCAUGUCAAUUACAAAACAUUGCGAAAACUAAUUAACUUAGAAGUUUUUCCAAACUUUGAGUGCAAUAAAUUAAAAUGUCCAACGUGUGUGGAAUGAAAGUAUGCUAAGCAUUCGUAUAAGUUUGUUGAAAGGAAUUCCAAUUCCUAAGACUUAAUCCACACUGACAUUUGUGAUAUGAAGUCAACACCAUCUCAUGGUGGGAAAAAGUAAUUUAUAACUUUUAUUGAAGACUGCACUAGAUACUAUUAUGUCUAUUUGCUAAAUAGUAAGGAUGAAUCAAUAGAUGCGUUUAGGAAAAUAUAAAAAAGAAGUUGAAAAUCAGUUAGAGAAAAAGAUCAAAACGUUAAGAAGUGAUAGGGGCGGAGAAUAUGAAUCUUCCUUUAUGCAAAUAUAUGUAGACAAUGGAAUUGUCCAUCAAACUAUGGCCCCAUAUUCACCUCAAUCUAAAGGAAUUACGGAAAGUAAAAAUGAAACCUUAAAAGAAAUGAUGAAUACUUUACUUAUAAGUUUAGGUUUACCGCAAAACUUAUGGGUGGAGCCUAUCCUUACGGCUAACCGAAUACUCAAUUGAGUGCCCUAUAGUAAGACACAAUCAAUUUCAUAUGAAAAAUGGAAAGGAGCAAAACCCAACUUGAAAUAUUUCAAAGUGUGGGGGUGUCUAGCGAAGGUCCAAGUUCCCAUGCCUAAAAGAGUAAGGAUAGGACCUAAGACGGUGGACUGUGUGUUCAUAGGAUAUGCUAAAAGUAGUAAAGUAUGUUGGUUUUUGGUUCAUAAAUAUGAACUUCCGAAUAUCAAUAAAAAUACGGUAAUUGAAUCAAAUAAUAGUGAAUUCUUUGAAUACAUUUAUCUAUAUAAAACUAGACAUGAGCAGUCUAGUGGGGGGUCUAAAUGACCUCAAGAUGAACCAAGUGAGGAUGUACCUAAUGAUGAGAAUCCAAGAUGUAGAACACGUCAAAGAAUGUCAACUUCGUUUGGAUUGGAUUUUGUAACAUUUUUCUUAGAAAAUAAGCCUCAAACAUUUAAAGAAGCAAUGUCGUUGUCAAACUCAUCCUUUUGGAAAGAGGCAGUCAAUAGUAAGAUUGAUUUAAUCUUAAGCAACCAUACAUGGGAAUUGGUUGAUCUUCCUCCAGGAAAUAAAACUUUAGAUUCUAAAUGGAUCUUUAAAAGAAAAAUGAAAGUGGGUGGUAUUAUUGACAAAUACAAAGAAAGACUUGUAGUAAAAAACUUUACAGAAAAGGAAGGACUUGAUAACGUCAAUUCGGAUGGUAUUAUUAUGAAACCAAAAGCAACACUUGCAACAAGGAUAGCGUCAAUUCAGAUGUUAAUUUCCUUAACAGUGGUAUAUGGUCUUGAAAUCUAUUAAAUGGAUGUGAAAACAACAUUCUUAAAUGGAGAAUUGGAGGAAGAAAUUUACACGGAAUAACCUGAGGGUUUUGUGGUUCUAGGAAAAGAAAUAAGGUGUGUAAACUUGUUAAGUCAUUGUAUGAACUAAACAAGCACCUAAACAAUGGCAUGCGAAGUUUGACCAAACCUUGUUGGUAAACGGGUUCAAGAUUAAUGAAUGUGAUAAACGUAUUUAUAUUAAAGACACUCCAAAUCACCAAGUCAUUGUUUAUUUGUAUGUGGAUGAUAUGUUGAUCAUCAGUAGAGAUAUUUCUAACAUAAAUGCUACAAAAUGAAUGCUCAAGAGAAAGUUUGAUAUGAAAUACCUUAGAGUUGCAGAUGUGAUCUUAGGAAUAAGAAUUCAUAGAACUCCAUUAGGGUUGGCAUUGUCAAAGUCUCAUUCCAUUGAAAAAGUACUUGACAAAUUCAAGUAUUUGAAAUUUGGUAUUGCCAAGACUCCAUUUGACGACAGCUUUGCACUUUAAAAGAAUGAAGGUGAAAUUGACUCAUAGUUGGAGUAUGCAAGAGCGUUGGAUGAAGGUGAAAUUGACUCAUAGUUGGAGUAUGCAAGAGCGUUGGGAUGUUUAAUAUACAUCAUGAAUUGUACACGACCAGACAUAGCAUGUGUUAUUAGUAAGUUGAGUCGUUAUACGAGUGAUCCUAAUAAAACUCAUUAAAUGGCAAUGAAAGGAGUUUUGGUGUAUCUUAAAUACACUCAAGACUAUGCUUUGCAUUAUAAUAAAUAUAUAGCGAUACUUUAAGGAUAUAGUGAUACAAAUUGGAUUACUGGAUCAACUGAAGCAAAAUCCAUGAGUGGAUAUGUAUUUACUAUCGGUGGAGAAGCGGUCUCUUAAAAAUAAUCCAAACAGACAUGUAUUGCUCGCUCCGUAAUGAAAUCAAAAUUUAUCGCAUUAGAUAAAGUCGGUGAAGGAGCAAAAUGGCUCUGAAAUUUCUUAGAAGAUAUUCCUUAUUGGACCAAACCAGUAGCACCAAUAUAUAUGCCCUACGAUAGCCAAGCAGUGAUAGAUAGGGCAGGGAGCAUGAUGUACAACGAUAAAUCUCUUUAUAUAAGAUGGAGACAUAAUACCAUGAUAUAACUUCUCUCUAGUGGAAUUAUCACUGUUGACUAUGUGAAGUCAAAGUGUAAUGUGUCGGAUCCACUUACAAAAGGCCUAUCUACAGAAGAAAUUGAGAGGGCAUCCAAAGGAAUGGAUUUAUGGCGUAGGACAAGUCAGCAUGGAGGUAUCUCUACUUAACAGACAGGAGAUCUCAAGAGCUAGGUUCAAGGAAUUCAAACAAAGUUGUUUCUGAUAGGUUCAACAUUGUUAAUAUACCCAAUACAUUCUCAUGAUGUAGACAAUGUUUAGUAAACAAGGAUAAGACUUAUGAGUGAAGUCUUUUAAUGAUUAUCUGAAUUUGGCAGAUUUGACCAAAUAUUUUAAUCUACAGGAUUGAACAUUUAGAAAUCACCUAUGUGAGGGAAAAUUCAACGCCGCUUCAAGGAGAAUAUUAGUAAAGGCCUAUUCUCUAAGCUCUCAUGAGACCGGGAUGUGUUCAUGGCUGAAAUGAAUAAAACCGUAAGAACCAUAAAUGGUAAAAAAUUGGUUGUAUGACAUGUGUUGUCUAGGUGUGCAUUAAAUCUCGAUGAUUCAAAGAUAUCAAAUCUACCAAUUGACCGAGUGCAUCCGAUGCAUGUUCAUUAUGGAAAGUUCAAAGGGAAAUCCACUUACGCAGAUGCAAUCAGUCUUUGCUUGAUGAUCACAUACUUGUCCGUAAAGUUUUAUGAAAAAGUAGUCAUUCCCCAUUCAUGUGGGGGGUUGUUGGGUUCAAGAUCAAAGUGUGAAUGGAAAAUGGAGGAAACUAAGUGGAUGGAAAAUUGCGAUAACACUCAAAAUGAAAAGUGUACUAAAAAAUUGAAAAGUUUACUAAAUUCUCCCACAUUGGUGGGAGAAGGAAAUUUUCAAGUGUUUAUAUUAAGAAACACUUAAUCCAUAAGGUAAGUAAGUCAAGAAAAAGAGAUGCCUCGCGCCAUCGUCGUCGUCGCUCGCUUAGCUCGGCUUCGGUUUCGGCUUCGACUUCAGAUUUGGAUUUGGACUUGUCAAAUAAUCGAUUAAUGAGAUUAAAUUUUUAGAUAAAUUUUAUUUGAAAAAUAGGGAAAAUUCAAUCCAAAAGGCCAAAGGAAAAAUGCAACACGCAAAAUUUAUUUGUUGCAGUUUUUGCUCCUCGGUUAAUGUGCAUGCUUCUACAUGUAGAAGCAUUGCUGCUGUAGCUUCUUAAAGAGACACAACUUUUCGAGUAAAAGACACUGUUUCGGUAAAGGGUAUGAUUGUUUUGAUGGUUGUGGCUAUUCGAAAAAGAUACACACUUUCUGAUAAACAGACAUGACGGUUCAAAAAGGAUAUACCUUUUUGGUGAACCAAUUCCACCUUUUGGAAGGGCCACCUAAUGGCUAUAUAAACCUGUAUUUUUCCACAGGUUUAGACAUGAAAAUUUUUCUACAUUAAAACAUAUCUUGCUUUCUGAAAUACUUCGUGUGAUCAUCUUAUCGUUGAGUGAGUUUGAAGAGAAUUUGAUCGUUUGAGAUACCACUACAGUCGGAUUGUUAGGCCAUUUUAUCCUGGGAGGAAAAUUCUGCAACCUCGGGUACUUGAGGGGAAUUAUUUCCUUAAGGACACUUCGUGAAGUCGAAGGACUUGAACUUUUUUUUGUUUCAUCUAAUUUUCUAAAAAAAAAUACAUCUUUGAAAGUUUAUUCUGAUCUUGUGUUGAAGGUGUUGCAUAACUUCAUAAGUAUUCUUGUUUUAUACUUGAACUUGUGUUGAAGUUGUUUUGCUGAAAUACAUAUUUUAUGUACCCGAAGACUAUGGACCUUCUGUGAAUGAUUAUGUCAUAGAAGAGGAGUGGAUAUUGGAGAUAUAAGGGGAAGUUGUGUGCCAAUUUUUAGGCUAUGCGCUAAUUUUCAGGCCAUGUGCAAAUUUCUAGGCUGUGUGUCAAUCUUGGGCUGUGCUCCAUAGGUUAUAUGCCAAUUUUAAGUUGUAUGCCAAUCCCAAGCUGUGUGCAAAUCUCAUUAUCAUUAGAGUCAUUAUCUUAUACAUUGCAUUUACUUUAUUGUAUUGAUAUUGUGAUUGAAAUUUCAUAUUGAUUUGUUAUAUGUCUACUUGCUCUACAUCCUUCUAUUUAUACUUGACUAUCCUGUAUAUACAUGUUCUCCUCUGUUUAUACUUGCAUGUGAUAUAGUGUAUAGUAGCGUUAUACUUGUUGUGUUGUUGCUGCAUUUGUGUUAUAUUAAAAUUGUUAGUGCAAGCGGUGUGGGCUACCAUUGUGGGACAUUUUUUGAUUGCAGGUGACGUGCCCUUAGUGUAUAUUUUGUGUACUUUAAUUUCUACUUUACUCGAUCGGCCUAUGAUACCAACUAAGUAUAAGUGGACCGUACUCCCAUAUACUGUACCCUUUCGAUGCAAAUCCAGGUUCUAGUGUGCCCUAUGCUGCUUGACUUGGGUAACUAUUAGAGCUUUCAAGGUAGUUGAUGAUUUUAAAGCGUCCGAAUGUCUUCUACUAGCUUUCUCUAUGGACUAUGUCUUUAAUUUCAUUCCAUAGACAAAGUUUCUCUUGUACCUUCUGUGUGCAAAUCUCAUUAUCAUUAGAGUCAUUAUCUUAUACAUUGCAUUUACUUCAUUGUGUUGAUAUUGUGAUUGAAAUUUCAUAUUGAUUUGUUAUAUGUCUACUUGCUCUACAUCCUUCUAUUUAUACUUGAUUAUCCUUUAUAUACAUGUUCUCCUCUGUUUAUACUUGCAUGUGAUAUAGUGAUAGUAGUGUUAUACUUGCUAUGUUGUUGUUGCAUUUGUGUUAUAUUAAAAUUGUUAGUGCAAGAGGUGUGGGCUACCAUUGUGGAACAUUUUUUUAUUGCAGGUGACGUGCCCUUAGUGUAUAUUUUGUGUACUUUAAUUUCUACUUUACUCGGUCGGCCUAGGAUACCAACUAAGUAUAAGUGGACCGUACUCCCAUAUACUGUACCCUUUUGAUGCAAAUCCAGGUUCUAGUGCACCCCACGCUGCUUGACUUGGGUAACUAUUAGAGCUUUCAAGGUAGUUGAUGAUUUUAAAGCGUCUGAAUGUCUUCUACUAGCUUUCUCUAUGGACUAUGUCUUUAAUUUCAUUCCAUAGACAAAGUUUCUCUUGUAUUUGGAUAUCUUAUGUGUUUCAUCGGUUUCUGGUUGUAUUAGAUACAUUCUUAUACUAUUGACAUAUGAUUUUGAGAGUUAGGCUGCAUUGUUAUGUUUCUUUCCUUAUUUAUUAUACUUGUGUGGUUCAACUUCGUUCUAGAAGCCUUACCUUGGGGUUAUUAUUGUCUUUUUGCACCUUGUGUGUUAGUUUGGAUGAUAGGCUUACUUGUUAAAAUUUGUCGAUACAAGUGUCAUUAUGACCCUUGAAUUUUGGAUUGUGAGAAAUGUAUCUAGACACUUUUUAAACGGUAGAAAGUGUAAUUUUGAAAACUAAUGUUUUUAGGGAGUAAUUAACUCCUAAACUGAUGGAUUUUCUAUUAUUUAGCCAUAUUAUUUAUCAUUAGUGUAAUCUAAUUUAUUAUAAUCAAUUAAUUAUUAUAUACUAUAAAUUCUAUUAAAUAAAAUUACUUGUAAUUACAUUAAAUAUCCUGUUUGUGGAUGUAAUAUAUCAAAUAAAAUAGUAGUAGUAGUAGAAAAGUGACAAGAAUAAUUCAAAUAUGAUUGGCCAGAAUUGGAAAGAUAUUAAAUUAAUUGCUAAUACGAUAGACCAUAAUUUGAUUGGCCAGAAAAAUUCAAAAUAUGACUGACCAUAAUUUGAAAAAACAUUAAAUUAAUUUCUAAUAUGACAGACCAAAAUUUAACUGGCUAGAAAAAUUUAAAAUAUGGCUGACCAGAAUUUGGAAAGACAUUAAAUUAGUUUCUAAUAAUGUUUCUUUAAAUUGGUGUACAAAUUUAUGAAAGAAUUUGAUCUUAAUUAUGUAAUCUUAUACAAAAGCUUUAUUAGGAAAGCAAUUUGUAGUGUCAUACACUUUCCAAAUUUAAUACCAAAAUAUCCCUAUAAAUUUCUAUUCAUCUUUGCUUAAUGUUGUAAAAAAUCAUCAAACAGUGUUUUCUAUUAUUAUUAUUAUUAUUAUUAUUAUUAUUAUUAGGAAGAAGACUUUCAUGGACAUUUUCAUUCCAUCAAAAUAAGAAGAAGGAGUACAGGAUGUCAUUCCCGCCCCAAUCCUGAAUGUAGAAAAUCCAUGGACCAUAAGCAAAGUCAUCACGGACUUUGAAAAGUCCGUUCAGAGAUUGGUGUUGUCGUUUGGGGAUACUAAAAGCAUGUUUUUAAGCACUGGAUGAAAGAUAUGGUUGAACAUGUAAAGAAAGAAAACAAUCAACAUGUAGAACUAUGGGAUAUCACCGAAGCAGCAAACCCUAUAAAUCGGGGAACCACUUAUAUUCAGAUGAUGAAGCCUAGUAAGGACUGUGCAAUGGUCUGUAAAGAUUUGUUUGUAAAUCCUGGAUUGGACUAUACUGGGAUGUUGGAUCAAACAACUUUAAGUUCAAUUUAAUUUAAAAGAAAACUUUUUGAUGAAAUAUUAGGAUGAAUAAGGAAAUUGAAAAUUAGUUAUAACAAUAUUUUAAAACAACCAUAUCUGAUGAAAUAUUGUGAUGCCAUUUGUAAGGAGAUUGAAAGGUUGUAUUUAAAAUAAGUGUUGUUAAGAAAUAAUAUUAAAUUUACCAUUUUCUAUUUCUAUUGCUUAGAAAAUCAUGUUACCUCAUCAUUUUAUUUUACGUGUUUUAAUUUAACAGCACAUGGACUUUAAAAAGGUAAUAAGUACUUUUGAUCGGGCAAUAAAGAUGAAUAUACUAUAUCUAAAUAUAGUUGAAUUAACAUAUCAAAUAAAUUAUUAGAAUUAAAAAGUUACGUAAAAGGUGAUUUUCAGUAAAAUAAUUUAAAGAUGAAAGUAUGCAAAGAUCAAAUUUGAUGAAAUCUUAUGAUGGAUUUGCACUAAGUUCAAAUGGUAACAUGGUUAAAAGAUUGUUAUACUUUGUUUAAAAAGAUAAUGGAAAUUGCCAUAUUCUACCAGUUAUUAAUAUAAAUUUACAAUCUUUCUUGUCAAAAUGAAAACAUCAUAUUAGACUCAUUAAUAAGUUGUCUAAUAAGAAACUUUUGGAUUGAGAAUUUGUUGUUUAUUCUUAAAAAAAAUAGAAAACCACUUUGAGGAUUAUCCAUAACAUAUAAAAAGAUCACAAGCAAAAUAAUUUAGGCAAAGUAGACCAAAAUAUCAAAAAAAGUUGGAGUAUAUUUUGAUUAUAUAGUCGAGCUACUAAAUUAUAAAAUUUGUUAUUAGUAAUAUGUGUAUAAUUUGCAAAAAUAAAAUGUCCACUGUCAUCAUUCAAACUUUGAUUUUGUUAUGAAAAGUUACAAGAUUAGAUUCAUGAAAGCUAGACAAAAAAUCAUAAUUUCAAACAUUUUGAAUUUUCUUUGGAGAACUAAUAUUCCUCUAAUACGCAUCAUUUAAGACAAGCUAGAAAUUUUCUAUUUGCUAAGGUAUAUUCUCUCUUAGAAUUCACUCAAAUGAUAGCAAGAGACGCAAAAACAUUUGGUUAAUUUUACCGUGACACACUAAAUUUUUUGUCUAAAGAUUAUGGUUUAACUCGUGAUACAACUUAAUGUUUAUCGAUCCCUAGCUAUCUUUAUACGAGAAAGUGUCUAGACAAAUUCAUAACUAAUUUUUAGAAGGAAUACAAAUAUUUAGCGUCAAAUCCUAAAUCCUAACAAAUCAUGAUUUUGAAAAAAACAUGGCUCAUCAAAUUUCUAAUAGAUCGUCAAAAUUAUAACCACAUAUUAUUAUAGAUUUCUAAAAUGAACAGCGAAAUUCUUGAAACGCGCACAAUAAUUAAAAUCAUAAAUGAAAGAUUGCAUUAGAAAGGAAGACAAAGGAUAUACAAUAACCAAAAUCUUCAAAUCUAUUUCACUACAAAGAUUUCUACAACAUGAAAAAAUUAACACAAUUUAAUAGAAGAACUUGUUUAUAAGGAUAUAAAAACUGAAUGGUAAUGGGAAAGACCAAUUUGUCAUCAUCAUCAUUCAUUGAACUGAACUUUGUGUUGGAACCUGCAGACAUUGCAAAAGCCCACUAAUUAAGUGAUACUUUUAUCUCUUUUAAUUGAUUUUGCAUAAAAAAAAUAAAAUGCAUUAAUUUUGAAACAUAUGUUUUCCUGAUUAAAAAAGAAAUAGCAGAGAUCUUCUCCUUUAUCUUUAAGAUAAAUAUUGCUUUGUUGUAGUCUUUAACUGCAUGAAGUUUAAAAUUAUUACUUACUCUGCAGUAAAGUAGAAAAAAAUUAGAAAGAGAACUUAAAUAUUCAAGCAAAUUAUCUAAAUAAAUUAGAAAACUUUAUAGAAUGCAAGUAUUAAUAUGAUUAUCACUUAUAUAACAAUAAUAACAUAUUCGGUGAAAUUCUAAUAAAAUAAAAAAUUAAUCUAUAACAAAAAAAAAUAUUUUGAAAUAAAAAAAAAAGAGCAUUCUUCUUACAACUACUCUUACCAUAAUGUAUAAAGAAAAAUGGGCUAGAGAGAGUGUGUCCAGCUUCUCUCUAACUCCUUUCCCCCUCCUAUUGAGCUAUUGACCCCGAUAUGCAGAAUCUCCGCUCCCCUUCGAUACCCAAUCCUCCUAUCAAUGAUGUCCCAAUGCUGGAAAAUAACCCAACCAAUAAGGACAUCAUCUCCAAUAAACUACCCUCCUCUAGCAAUGCUGUUAACUUUGAAGAGGAUGACGAUCCAACGGAACAGGAUCUAAUCAAUCUCUCAAUGGAAGAGCUCACAUGCCUCUAUGAUCCCUGAAAAUAUUUUGUAAUCAUCAAACUAGUGCGGAAGAAUUUUGCCCACCAGUACCUCAAAAACAAAUUAGAGGCUCUUUGGAAGCCUUCACGCCCCCUAUGUCUCAUUGACUUAGAAUUGGGUUUCUACACUGUUAAAUUCGAAAACCUAGAAAGUCAAGCAAAAUCACUCCAAGGAAGACCGUGGUUUAUCUCCAUAACUUUCAUCUCAGUAGGGAAAUGAGAGCCUAAUUUUGUACCAAGCAAUGCACAACAUUCUGGCUACACCUACUCCAACUUCCCACUGAGUUCGAUGACUCCCAAAUACUUCAGAGGGUGGGGAGGAAAAUUGAAAGGCUUCUAAAGAUCGACGCAUGCACAUCUGCUACUCUACGGGGUCGUUAUGCUCGAUUAUGCAUCCAAAUUCAAUUAGGCAUACCAGUAAUGGCCUCAAUCAACAUUGGAGGGCACCAACAAGAGAUCAUAUACAUAGGAGAUGGGAUACUCUACUCAUCGUGUGGCCAAUUAGGUCACACACCUACCAGUUGCCACCACCAGCAAGAUCCACCCAUUCAAUAUAGUUCAACAUUGGAAAAAACGUCGACAUCAGAAGGGGAAUAGCACACUGUAUCUUUCCAGAAAAAAGAAAAAGAGAAACCAGGUUCCAUCUGAGGACUCAGCUUCAAUCCAAAAACCCGACAAAGAAGGUAAGUCUUAAGGAGCAGUGACAGGUAAGUCUCCGAAUCCUCGACACUACGACGGCGGCAACAAGUUAGGGUAACCUAACACUUUUGGGUCCUCUCGGGGCAAAGCCAAAAUGGGCCAGCUGCUAGACCCCCUGCCCCAUUGAAAAAUUGGGCCAGGCCCAAACUCGGCCUCCAAACACCAUGCGGAUUCCUCCAUGGACUGGGCCAAUUCUGGAGUAGAGCAUAAAGCCCCUCCUUACUCGAGGCCCAAUUCCCUUAGUAACCCGAACAAGCCCACUUCGGGAAAAUAGGGGCCUUCUUAUUCUACUCCUAUUUUAAACAGUACCCCUUCCUUAGUUGACUUAAAGAAUUAAAAAAAGAGCUACGGGCCCCACCAGAACCAGCUCAACUUAGACAAUCAUGAGUCUUCAGCUGAAAUCCCCCAACGCUCGUUAAAAACCUUUCCGAUUCUCAGGGUGAUUUGAUGAAAACUGUCUAUCACACAGACAUUGAAUCAAAUGCAAGUGUCAAUACCAAGGAUGAAGCUUCUCAACUCAAACCAGUAACAUGGCUAUCUCUCAUACCUCUAAAGAGAAUAGCAAUGAACCUACCCCAAAACUCUGAUAUGAUCACCCUAAUUACGAAAAUAUUACCAAUGGACCACCUCCCAACUUCUUGGCUGGAGGUAUGCCUCACCGGCCAGACUGUACCACUACACCGUGCAAUGGGAGAGGAGGCAAGUUACUCUAUUUAUUUAGGACCCCAGGUACCUGGUACUUCUAUCCAUGGAAUGCCUACGCCAGGGGCUAUCUAGCUAUGGACAAAAUAUGUGGAUGGCAACCCUGUUCAAUGUGAUAGGGUCAACCUUCCAAGAGGAAUUGACCCUAGAAAUCCUAUCAUCUAUGAUAAAUCAGAUAAGCUCCAGCAUUCCAUUCUUUCCACCCUCAAAUCCUCUUCUGCUGGCACAAAGCCCAACUUUUAUGAGCUUACCUAGGGAAAGCCAACCACUCCCAGUCUCAAUGAUGACUCCCCUCUCACCUCCAGCACCCAUAGUACUAGAGAGACUUGAAAGAGUGAAAACUAUGGAAACUCUAAGGGAAAGCAACAAGGAACUGGAAGGUCUCCUAGCACAACUGAGAAUCCCCAGAAUGGAUGUCUUCACGGUGGAAAGACCUGUAAAUCUAGAGUUUAUAGACCUCAUUCACGAGAUUUCCAUUAUCCUCUUGCCUCAACCACUGACAAAGCUGGGCCUAAACUAAACGGGCCAAACCCUAUUAGAGGAACUUUUCACUGCAAAAGUAUCUCCUCUAUCAAAGAAGAGGAAGAGCUUAAAGAUGCAUGGACUCUCCAAUUCACUGGGAAAGGGGAAGAAAGUACUGAUAGGCUCCCACCAACUUCAAAAAAACUAUGAUGAAGAGCUUCCUAAUUUAGAAUGAUAGAGGGGCCAAUAGUGUAGAAUUAAAGAAGCAAUGCAAGUCCAUGAUUAGCAUCCACCACCCCUGCAUCUUGGCCCUUCUUGAAACUAAGAUGGUAGACCAUAAGAAUCUCUCUAAUGACCAUGGCGACCACAACUUCAUUAAGUCCAGUGCUAGUGGUAUCUCAUGGGGCAUAGUAAUAAUGUGGAAAGAAGACAACAUCACCAUCACCAGCUUUUUUAUCUUCUCUUAGGCUAUUCAUGCCUCUGUUAAGGUAAAUUCUCUCCCCUCCAGCUGAGUCCUUAGCAUUGUCUAUGCUAGUAAUGAUUAUAAUAACAGGAAGCUUCUUUGGGACCAACUUAUUUCUCUAGCUGACUCCUUACCCUCCAUGAGAAGUAAUAAUUGGGUAGUGGGUGGUGCUUUUAAUGAGGUCCUGAAGGCUAGUGAGAAAUUUAGGGGAAACCCCAUAAACAUCCACAAGUCCUCCCUCUUCUGGGAAUGCAUUAAUAAAUGCAACUUCAUAGACCUAGAUUCAUGGGCUGCAAAUUUUCCUAGUCUAAUAUGAGAUAUAGAAAUAGGCAAGGCCUUAUCUUAGAAAGGUUAGACAGAUGUUUAGCUAAUGACUAUUGGGUGCACCUGUAUCCUAAGGCCUCUAUACUCACCUCCCUAAAAUCUACUCUAACCACUCCCCUCUACUCUUGAGCCUUACUAGACCCCCUCAAUAUCUCCCUAGACCCUUCAGGGUGGAAUCCUCGUUGUGCAAUCGCCUUGAUUUCAAUAGCCUUAUCCUCAAUUCCUUUCCUGAGAGAGUUGACCUCACUAAUGCAACCAUUCUCUUUGAUGGCAUAGCUAGAACCUAGAAUAAGAAGACCUUUGGCAAUAUCUUUAAAGCAAAGAAAUAGAUACUUGCUAGGUUAACAGGUAUCCAAAAAUCCCUUCACUACCCCACCAUCCCCUUUCUCUAAAACCUUGAAGUCUCCCUCACCUAGGAAUUUAUUUACUUGCUUGACCAAGAGAAUGAGUUCUGGAAACUAAAAUCCAAGAUCAACUGGCUUAUUGAUGGGGAUAUGAAUACAAAAUUCUUUCACACUUCCACCCUAAAUAGAAGAAUAAGGAGUAGAAUCAACUCCAUCUAAGACCAUAGCUACUGGAUCUUUGAACGUUCUAAAAUCUCUAAAGCCGUCACCUCUUUCUACAAAACUCUCUAUUUCUCUGACCAUACAUGCUUUCCCAUUAUAUUCCAAACAAACCCUUUAGACAGGGUUCCUUUAAACCUUCUUCCUACUCUCUUCUAGAUUUUAUUCCUAACCUGGAAGAGAUUAAAAGGGUUGUUUUCUUCUUUGGCCCUACCAAAGCACCUGGACCUGAUGGAAUGCAUCCCUUUAUAUGUCAGAGAUAUUGGCCCAAUAUGGCCCCUCUGAUCCAUGAGUUUUGCAGAGCAACAUUUACCUCUUAGAGGAUGGACCUUGUAGUCAACACCACCUAUCUUUUCCUCAUUACUAAGUGCAGAGAUAUAACCUCCUUUAAAAACUUUAGGCCUAUUAGACUGUGUAAUACUCAGUACAAGUUCAUCACCAAUAGAUUAAAACCUCUCCUCCAAACCAUAAUUGGUCUUAAUCAAGCCAGUUUUCUUGCUAAAAGGAGGGUCUGUGUUAAUGCCAUCAUUGUCUAGGAAUACUUAGAUCACUUCAGGAAAAUGAAGGGCUCUAAUCCCAUCAUGAUCAUGAAAAUUGAUCUAGAAAAUGCCUUUGAAAGACUUGAAUGGCCUUUCAUUAGACAAGCAUUGGCCUUCUUCAAUUUCCCCCUGGUCUCUCUCAACUCAUUCUCUCAUGCAUCUCCGUAUCCUCUAUUUUUGUCCUUAUGAAUGGGAAUAUAACCCCCUCUUUCAACCUACAAGAGGGUUAAGGCAAUGAGACACCAUGUCACCCUACCUCUUUAUUUUCUGUAUGGAGUUAUUCUCUAGGAGAAUUAAUUAUAAGGUUGAUUCCCUCAUAACUAGGGAUGAGUAUGAUGUCUAAAGUCAAGACUUGGUAUCCUUCUUUCCUUCUGUUUCAUUCUAUUUCAUUCUUUUUGAAUAAUGGUCAGGACAAAAUUUUGUGUCGUUGUCUACUUCUUUGUCCGAACACACUUUAUGUUUACAUUCAAAGGGGGCAUAUUGUAGACACCUAAUUUUGUUCCUCCCAAGUUCAAUUUUAUUCAUUUUUACCUCACAUUAUCAUACACCCUCACCCACGUGAUUAUACCCCACAAAAUAUAAAAAAAUAAAAAUAAAAUUUCAAUAAACCACUAACAAAUUAAAACCUUAAUAUUCCCUUAUUCUAACAAACUUUAUCCCAACAACCUCACCACCCCAUACCCCUACCCUUUAACCCCACCCUUCCACAUUUCUUUUUCAAGAAGAAAGUAAAAGAAUACAAAAAUAGACCUCACAAAAUAGAAAAGAGGGAAGAGAAAAAAUAGAAUUCCAUUCAUAGGCACAGUACACCACCAUCCUUCUCGAUAAUUCCACACACACUCACUCUCACCAUAUACACACACCUACCUCCACAAGAACACACAGAUGAUCCUCUAGUUUUUCAUUGACUGAAGAAAAAACCAUAAACAAUUUCACGCACACACUUUUAAAAUCUCAUGAUACACUCCCAUGCACGAAUAGACGAUUCACUCACACACAGACAUUGAAAUCUACUCUCAGUUCAUAUAGAAACAAAACUCACGCACAAAGGCUGAUCAGAAAAUAGACCCAUCAGGAGAAAUGAACUGAUCGAAAAAAAGACCCAUCGCGACAUUUAUUUUGGGGUCAAUUAGGUUUUGAUUUUAUAUUUUUAUCAGUGGUUUUGAUUAAUUUGGACUCGAUUUCGUCAUCUAUUUUUGAUAUCAAGCUGGUGUUGUUCAUUUUGAUGUUCUCUGUUGGUUUUCAAAUCUAUUUUGGGGUCAAAUUCGAUACCAAAUAGGGUUUUGUUCAAAGUCAGUUUAAGUCGAGAUUCCAAAGCCACAAAAGCUCCUCCGUUUGAUUGAAUAAAAGUGAUAUUAAGGUCCAUUCUUUAUCUCAUUCUCAAUUAAUUUGUAAUUGUGUGAUAUUUGGUGUGGUAAAUUCAUGGUGUGUGGAUUUUAUUUUGUUGAUUUUGAUAUGUUUUGGAUCAUCGUGGUUUGUUAUUGAUAUCGAUAGAUUGAUCGUAAUUUGGUUGUGGAUUGUUGAAAAUAGUAAUCGUGAACUAUUAUAUUGCAACCUUGAAUGAAAUUUGGGGAAAUUGAUAAUCGAAUAAGUUGAACGUUGAUUAGUUUUGAUUCAUUGUUGGAUAUUAUUGAAAUUGAUAGUAUCAUGCUUUAGAUCGUUAAAUGGGUAGACAAAUACUAAGUUUGGGUAGGCAAAUUGUAGAAAUGGAAGAUGGUGAUUUGUUGAAUGUGUGGAUAUUUGUUGAAUGGUUCUUUCUAUUUUAACGUAUAAAAUUGAGGAUGUAUUCAUUUUAUCGGGGAAUGUCCUGAGGUACCUUGUACUCGAAAGAUGUUCGUGAUGAAGGCCCAGAGCAUCGGGUGAAGCUUUGGAGUGUAUUUUUAGGAUUAGUAUAGGUUUACUUUUCAGUACCUUUUUAUUUCGGAUUGUAAUUAUCGGACUGGACAUUAUAAUUUUGGAUUUGUUUUGUUUGAUUGUUUGAUUGAUUGUUUUGUGUAUUUUUUGUGUGGUUUAUACAUUCAUAAUAUCAAAUUAGCCGAUAUGUUCCACCAAGCGACUGUGGUUGAACCAUGGGAUCGAGGGGUGCCUAACACCUUCCCCUCGGUCAAUAGAAUUCCUUAGCCAGAAUCUCUGUUCGUGGAUCAGUUUUAGAGUCAAACUGUUUUGAAAAAGGAUUUUCAAGGUGACUUGGCACACUAGCUUUAAGCCAAGUGGAGACUCUAAGUUAAAAAAGGUAAAUAAUUCUUUUCGAAACAUAUUUUCAAUCUUUUGUCACUUUAACAAUAAAAGCCCUUCCAUACUUAAAAUUCAAUUCAUUUGGAGUUGAAAAAGGGGUGUGACAAUUAAAAUGGAGUUUGGGAUGUUAUAUUUAUAGUAUAUAAGUCAUAAAUCGACUUGGAUUGGGUUUCUGAGCUGUUUUUCUUCAGCUGGGAAGAUUUCUCCUGAUUUUGGAGGUCGGCGCGACGCGGUGACAUGCUAAUUUACAAUUGUCAAAAAUUCUGUCAAAUUCCAGUAGCUAGUCACGAUUUCAACGCGUCACGGAGCCUUCUUAAACCCCAUUAUAAGCUACAUGCGCCUAUGGGUAAGCAUCUUGGGCCUCCUCUGAAUCUAAUAAUAUUUUUUACUCAUACAUUAGCCUCUCCUAUACUUCGUACGCGCUCAAUACAUUACAGGUGUCAAAAUUGCAUCCAGCUUGUGUCUUGUGCUUUUGUUGAGCUAUUCCGAGCCUUCUUGAGUUGUUUUCACUUGAUUUGAAGCUUGUAUAUCCUUAAUAUAUCAUUAUAAUCCAUUUAAAAAGAAUCAUAAAGAAUUAAACAAAUCAAUUAAGAGAUCAAAACAACACAACAUCAUCAUCGAUGAACUAGAAACACGAGCUAAGCAUAGGCUAAACUCACAUUGAGCUUUAACUCAUUGUUUUGACUCUUUUCUUGGUUCAAUUGACCCUUGAACAUUAUAACUAAGUUGUUUUACAUAUAAAUACAUAAUAACCUUAGUAACUCAUUAAAACACAUUAGAACCCAACACAAGAGACUAGAAAAAUACCUAGCUCAAGCUAGUUACACUAGUUUUCUCGGUUGACUUCUAAAUGCUCAAAUUAAAUCAAAACUCAUGUGAAACCACCAUUAAAAAUUAUAAACACAUAAUUGGACACAUAAUUUCUAAUUUAUAUCAUUAUUAAUACAUAUAUCAUAAGAAUCAUCCUUAAAACAAGGCUAAAUAAGC
rnacentral:lncRNA from 1 species